AAUAAAAAUCUUACAAAAUGUAAUAAUAUGACAUUAAAAUUUUAAAUCAAAGAUAUUGAUUUUGUUUUAUAUAGUAUAAAGAAUUUUCUAUCAAAAUUUCACGUGAUUUGGAUAUUUCUACACCGUUAAACUUGCAAACGGCUCACUACGACCAUUGAAAUUUAUUGAUUUUGAGCCCAUUCAAUCACUAGGCAAAUGAUAUCGAAAAAUAAUAAAAUUUAUUUUCUAGGUACUCCAAAUACUCUAGAUCAAGUUUAACGGAGCCGAUCGAUGAUUCGAAAGUCGCAAUAUCAAAAACGAGCUGGAAGCACGGAAGGCUCCGUGCUUCCGAUAGCAUAGUAGCCUCACUAUAUAUAUAUAUAUAUAUAUAUAUAUAUAUUCUUAUAUAUAGUCUGUCACGCCCCGGGACCGGCGGAGGCCCUCCCGGUAGCGUGCCCAGACCCGCCAUAUGUCUACACAUAUAAGGCGUCUACAAUAAAAGCGGAAGUAAAGGCAAGAGAUAGAACAAAUAUAAGAAAUGAAAUAACUAGCAACUAGAGAUAUCAGAGCAAGUAAAGUUCUAUCAUCUACACCAAAGUAAAGGAAUAAAGCUAGUCAAACAAAAAUAACCAUAAGUAGUACAAUAACUGUCUCUAGUACAAAAAUGGUGGUCUCUAUACAUAUACGGGUACAACUCUCAACCUCUCACCAAAAAGAAAACACGAGAGGUAGACCACCUAUCGAACGAUCCCUCGGUAAGCGCGCUAGCCCGAGGCGAUACCCUUUCCGCGAUCCCUGGCCUCACCCUGAGUGGAAGGCUCUGAAAAACAUCGAGAAAAAGAGGGCGUGAGAACUAUAAUUUAUAAUUCCCAGUGGGCAAUUACUGACCUCAGCUCAAUGCACCACUAGGCCCCAAAAGGAAAGGGUAAGUACAAUAAUAAAAGCAAUAAUAACAGCAAUAUGGAAGCAUACUUAAAAGGUUAAGUUAUUAAACUCAAGUAUACACGAUGUCAUGGUGAUGUACAUCUACGAAAUUACAGUAGUAUGUCCAAUGGCAAUAGGUAAGUGUCAUUAUCCUUUAUCAAUACAUUAUGCAUAAGUUCUGUCAUGGCAACCAAGUAUACUGUGAUGAAAUAGGUAACUGUCAAAUAUACUACAUGUCUCAACACUAUGCUAUAAGCAUGUAAAUGUAAUCCAACUACUAAACCUAUCUAGUAGUGAUUGUUCAUAUACAACACCGUGUCGAUUUCCAUUUCCAAUUAAGGACCUACCCAAGGUAGUCCAGCUUGUGCCGCCUAAGUGCCUGUGGUAGCCCAACAUCCCUACUCUUGGAAUGUGUCUGUCCCACUCGACCCCGUAGGCUUCUCAAUACCGCACGAGCGAACAUAAGUCGCGUAGGCUAACUCCGGAGUGCCGGCUUGUAGGGAGCGACCCUCACAAGCAUGUGCGAAUGAGCACAAAUGGCAAACAAGCGUAGUCCGAGUCUCAAGUACCCAAUCCUCAUGUCUCUAACAUGGUAUAGUUACUAGCAUCCCAAAGAUCUAGUUUAAGUCACAAUGUGAAGUUUCAAUAUUCUCUAGGUCUAGUGCCCCUUUAUGACACUUAGACAUUUGAUGUUCAACAUGUAUUCCAAAUCCCUCAAUGGCCCUAUCCUCUAUGUUCCCACAUGUCCUGAGCUCAAUGCCGCUUGAUGACAUUAGCUCUCUAGUUCACAUACCUACUAAUGGCAAUUUUAUCACUUUCAUGACACAAGUAAACUUAGGUUUAAAUGCAUGAAUCCGAACUCACUUACACUAUAGUAGCAUGAAACCAAGUCUCAUGAAGAAUGCGAAAUGCAACUAUAGAUCCCUCAAGCAACUCUCUAUUACAUAGAGGUCCAAAAUUUCAUCAUACAUAACAUAUGCAUUUUAAGCAUUCUAAAAAUCACAAUAAAUACAUUUAGUAUGAAUAUGCAUGCUUUUCCAUUUUACGGAACAUAUUAAAACCAUAUAUGAGAAUUUCUCAUAUGUAGGCUAGGUCAAACCCACCGAACCGUCGCGUAGGGUCUCGUUUCGCCGAACAAAGUUGUCCCCGAGUCUCAAAAUACCCUAAAAGUAAUGAGCGACAAGAUACACGGGCAUUACGAUCAUCGCAUAAUAUCAAACUUUAACAAAUUUAGCAAAAGGGCUAAAACUCACCCAACGCGUGGAAAAACUCUCUCAAGCUCCAAAUGAGAGCUAAAUCCCUUCCAAUCCAAGCCCAAGGAAGGUUCUAAUCCAACCAAUUUGGCCCCAAAAGCCCUAGUUUCAAAAUACCCAAAAACAAGCCCUAAGUCUCAAAACUAGGGUUUCAUCUUGAAUCCAUCAAUAAAACUCAAAUCUAGAGGAAAGAACAUGAUGCUUACCUCUUAGAAGCUUCAACUCAAGCUUUGAAUCCUUUAAAUCCCAAGAUCUAUCCUCCACUUAGCUCCAAAUCCAAGCUCUAAUGGUGGAAAAGCCUCCAAUACCCAAAAAGGAGCAAAAAGAUGUGUUUAAACUCUAAAAAUCCAAGCAAAAUCAAAGAAAAGGAAUAAGGAGGUGUGGAGAGCUCCCUUACCUUCCUCCUUGCUGGUGCCAAGCUCAGGGAAGACCCCUAGGGCGUGGGGGUACUAAUAGAGAUGCCACAAUUGCGAAAAACCCCCUGCAGAACAAACUGCUCAGAUUCUGCCAAAGUGUUCCGGUACACGGGGAAGUGUACCGGUACACAUCCUGCGAAAAUGCAAACCCGAGGCUCGGGUUCGUAAUCUGCCACAAGUGUACCGGUACAACCAUCAAGCGUGUACCGGUACAAAGUGUGUACCGGUACGGCCAUCAAGAGUGUACCGGUACACUUUGUGCAGACUGCAAUCCGAGAGUAGCCUAAGUCCUACUCUUUAGUGACCUUAGCGCUACAUAAAAUACUACAAUUCUCGGGAUGCGAGCCAUAGGUCGGAACACUGUCAACGACCCACCAGAAAGUCUGGAAAAACUCGGGACACUGUCCAAACACUCGGACCUCGCAAUUUGCAAAGGUCCAGUGCGUCACAUAGUCCAUUCCCGCUAUUUCAUCGGUCCCUUGUUCGGAUAAACGAUCGAUUGAAGCCAAACAAUCUACUCCUCCGCCGCCCCCAAAGCGGCGCAAAUCAGUUGUGAAGAAGAUCCAUUCUUCAGCUCCUACAGUCGUCAAAGAUGCAUCUUCGAUUGAUGUUCCACCAAUAUCAAAGAAAAAUCUUCCUCAACCAUCUCCAAAUGAACCAAUCAGCCGAGAUAAAUCCUCAGCCUAUUUUGAUUGACUCCUCUUAUUCUAAUGCUUCAAACGGAUCACCUCCACUUUCUCCGUUGGUAAAACAGACGCCUUCGGGAAGACGCUCUAGCGUCCGUUUCGCCUCGUCCUUGGAAAAGAAAAUGUCUGAUACUGAAAGAUAGGCUCGCCGAGAAGCUCGUAUUGACAAGAAGCGAGAAGCGGAACGAACGUAGGCAGAAGUUGAGAAAAAUAUGGAGAAGGCAAGAAAGAAGAAUGAAAUAGAAAAUAUGUCAACUCUAAAGAAAAUAGAAGAAGACAGAGGUGAGGGAGAAAGAAGUGGAAAAGAAGAAGAACUAAAAAGAAGAGAAGAAGAGGAACAAGGAAAAGAGAAAGAGAGUGAAGAGCAACAGAGAGAAGGGGAUGGCAACGAAAAAGAAAUAGGUACCUUUCCUUCUUCCGAACCUUCAACCGAAGCUUCAACAUCAGCUCCUUUACCAGUGUCUGAACCAACAGACUCGUUGACUAUUUCUCUUCAAGACUUAUUGACUUCAAGCCGAAUUCAAAUGAAGAGGAAAACCUCUCUGCCUUUAUGUCGGCUGACACUCAACAAAGAUUAAAUGAGUGUCCAAAAUUGUAUAGUAGUGGUCUUCCUUCUUUGGCUCAAAAUACGGAACAAUUCAAUCGGCUUGGGGUGCUCCUGCUUGACCUAGUAGACCAGCCGGGUCUUUCUCCCACAGGUAAAUAUUUUGCAGAAACUUUAUCUUCUCAACUGUCUUCCUUUUUGACUCGGCAACAAACCCUUUCUGCCGAGUUCUUAUCUUUGGAUCACCAUUUCAACCGGGUUAAUUAUUUCAAGACGAAAAUUUCUAAAGUGGCAAUUCCAAUUACUGAUUUGGGUCAACAAGAUAAUUAUCUAGAAAACCAAGAAUCGGCUCUUCAGCAGCGUAUCUCCAAUCUUAAAGAAGAACUUGCUGCAGUCGAGUCGGGCCUUGCCCAAACAUCUUAGCAACGCAUGCUUGUACAAGCUCAACUGAAAGCCAAGAAGGAUGAAGGUGCGAAGCUUCAUGAUCAGCUCUCCCAGUUUUAUAAACUUCAUCCUUUGAUGAAACGUAGAAAACGAGCAGCUGAUUCCGCACAAGUACACUUAGAAACUGAAUGAAAUCAACUUAAAAACUUAUUAUCUUGGUUCUAUAUUCCUUAUUUUGAUUCGGCUGUUGGCUGUACUAUAUUUCAAAUUACAUGUACCUUACUCUAACUUUAUUCACUUUCCAACAUGGAUGGGUAGUAUUUUCUCAGAUAUUUUCCAUUAAUUGGUUUGUUAUACUCUGAUCCAUCCAUAUUUUUUAAGAAGUAUGCAUUACCUCUUGUGAUUCUGCAAACCUGAAAUGGUCCUUCCCAAUUUAGGGACCAUUUUUCAUACACUCGGUCUUUUCGACCGAUUGAAAGUAUUAGUCUUAGAACUAAGUCCCCAAUAGAAAAGGAGUUGGCUUUGACUCUUUUAUUAUAUGCAUUACUUGGCUCUGAAAAGCUUGUAGAUGGUCAAGUGCUAAUAACCGAGUCUCAUUUAUUUCUUCUAAUUUUUCAUUCAUCAAAGUCUUGUCCUCGCUUGUCGUCAGUUCCUUUUGCCUUUCAACUCGUAAGGAAAGAACUGCUAUCUCUGCUGGAACUAUGGCCUCAUGGCCAUAUACUAAUUGAAACGGUGUCACUCCCGUCGCUAUUUUCACUGUUGUUCGACACGCCCAUAACACUUCGGAAAGCUCUUCAUUCCAUUUUCUCGGGUGUCUUCCAAUAUGUCGUUUCAUAAGAUUUACAAUAACUUUAUUCGCCGCUUCAGCUUGCCCAUUGGCUUGAGCGUAAUAGGGUGAUGAAUGAACCAGCUUGAUUUUCCUUGACUCCAUGAACCGAGCAAAUUGUUCCCCAAUAAACAUUAUCCCUUGAUCGGUUGUAAUCGUUUCGAGGAUUCCAAAAUGAUGGAUUGUAAAAUUUUCUACAAAAUCUAUAAUAUCUUUAUGAGUGACCAGUCUAGUAGGUUUUACUUUUACCCACUUAGUAAAAUAAUCGACAGCCACUAUCAAGAACUUAUGACCAGCCGAGGAGUUCGGCUGAAUUUCUCCAAUCUAAUCCAUAGCCCAUUCUCGAAAAGGUCAAAGUUUAAUGAUUGUAUGCAUCUCAGAAGCGGGGACCUUUUGUAUGGAGUUAUGAAACUGACAAUCUUGACAUCCUUUAGCGUAUUUUAUACAAUCUGCAUGCAUAGUCAGCCAAUAGUACCCGAGGUGCCGAAUUGUCCAUCUCAAUCUUUUUCCUGCUAGAUGAGCUCUGCAUAAUCCUUCAUGGAUUUCGCCCAUAAUUAACAAAAUUUCUUUAAGUCCUAAACAUUUCAAUAGCACUUCUUCGGCUGUCCUCUUAUAGAGCUGCCCAUUUAAUAGACAAUAGUCGAGUGCUCUUUUUCGAACAUAAUAUUCAACCCAUUUAUUAGGGUUAACCAACAACUCAAUCAAAGGCUUUCUCCAGUCUUCCUGAAUUUCGAUAAGAGCAAUCAUCAUCGGUUCUCGUAUAUGAACCGAUGGAAGAAGCCUUCUCUCUAUUUUCACUUGAUCUCUUUUCGGCUCUUUGUACCUUGAAGCCGAUUGAGCCAAAUCAUUGGCUUGCUCGUUUUCUUCUCUCAACAAAUGCACCAACUCUGCUUCCCGAAACUACAAAGUAACUUUAUUGUUUUCUUUAAAUACUCUUGCAGAUUUUGAUUUUCACAUUAGUACUACCCAUUUAUUUAUUUAAUCACUAGUUGUGAAUCACCGAUAAUUUUAAGUGAUCAUGCUUCUAAUUCUCGUAAAACUUCAAGCCCGAUUAUCAGGGCCUCAUAUUCAGCUUGAUUGUUUGAGCAGCCAAAAUUCAGUUCAAAAGCGAACGGAUGAGUAUAACCUUCGGGAGACUGUAUUACUACUCCAGCUCCCGCAGAUUCGGCUGUUCUUAAACCAUCGAAGUAAAGUGUCCAAGGUUGACAAUUGACCAAACUUUGUUUCGACUCUUCAACCUUGACACAAGGAUGAUCAGCCAAGAAAUCGGCUAUUGCUUAUCCCUUGACUGAUUUUGCCGGGACGUAGUUAAGAGAGAACUCAGACAAUGCUAACAUCUAUCGUCCAAUUCGCCCUCUUAAUACUGUGAGUUAUGCAGAAACUCUAGGAUCUUUUAUCUAGAUACUAUCAAACACCUAGAGGGGAGGAAUAGGUGUAUAGGCCAAAAACCACUGCCUAACAAGUUUUAAAUCACAAUCAAAUCUAAUAAAAUCAAACAAAAGGUUGAUCGAGCAGCCAUCUACAUGAUAGGCUUGACACGAUCAAACCCCUCGCAUUUGGACAAUUAAAAAAAUAAAAUAAAAUAAAAUAAAAUAUGUAAAAAAUAAUGAAUAUAUUUUGAUUUGCCUUCUUCGUGAUAAGCAUUGUUCGAAUGAAAAGAGUAUCUAGCUCUGUAUAGGGCAAAUUUUUCAGUGUAACAUAUGCAUAUGUCUUCAAAACUGGAUGGGAGGGAGAGGGAGGGGCGCUUGCUCUCCAAAACUUUUCAGUGUGACAUAUGCGUAUAUCCUCAAAAUGGGAUGGGAGUGAGAGGGGUAUCUUCACAUGUAGUUAAGCGGAACCAUCUAAGAUGUCUUUUAUUUUCUUUCUUUUUUUAUUUUUUUUUUUACAUCUUAAACAACCUGAUAUGUCGUCGUUGUCGUGCACGACUGACGUAAGGACGAAUCAGCAUUUCACAGGUAAUAAUUAAUUGGAGGACCAAAAAAAAGCAAAAAAAAAAAGACCAAAAAAAGCAAAAAGAAAUUAAAAAAAAAAGCAAAAAAAAAGAAAGAAAAAAAAAGAAUAAAAAUCUCCCAGAUGCAAUGAAGAUCUCGCUAGCAAAAAUAGGAUCCCCGCUGUGAUAAAACCUACUUUAGGCUCACAAGAAAAAAUGAGCUGAAUGCUUGUGGCGAAAACUCUCGCGGGCGCUUGAUGUCAUAAUAAAAUAAUAAAAAUUUCGCAAACGAUGAAAUACUGAUUCAUCCCUACAUCAGUCAUGCACGACAACAACGACACAUCAAGUUGUUUCAAGAUGCCCAAAAAAAAAAAAAAGGUUAUCUUAGAGGGUUCUGCCUAACUGUAUGUGAAGACACCGCUCUCCCUCCCAUCCCAUUUUGAGGACAUACGCAUAUGUCCCAUUGAAAAGUUUUGGAAAACUCUAUCAACUACAUGAGAGGAGCACCCCUUUCCCUUCCAUUCUGUUUUAAAAUCCUACAAAUUUGUCAUUUUAAGGAGAUCUUUAUGCGUAAACUGAACAAAUGGUUAUCAAGUCGUUAAACUUUUCAUUUUAAGGAGAUCUUAUAGAUGGCGAAUGAUUUGAACAAUACCUAUCACGAAGAUGGCAAAUUAAAUAUGUUCAUUAUUUUUAAAAAAUUUUAUUUUUAUUAUUUUUAUUAUUUGUCCAAAUGCGAGGGUUUGAUCACAAAGAUGGCCGCUCGAUCAACCCUUUAAUCGUAUCGAACCUAUCGCGAAGAUGGUUGCUCGGUAUAGGUAUUAGCAAUGCAUACGCGGGUUUGAUCGUGUUGAGCCUAUCACGAAAAUGGCCGCUCGAUCAAAUCUUUAACCAUGUGGAGCCUAUCACGAAGAUGGUCGUUCGGUAUAGGGAUUAGCAAUAUAUAUGCACGAUAAAAGUGGCGAUUUAAUGUCGAAUUUGAUCGGUUCGAACUUAUCGCAAAGAUGGUCGUGUUGAUCAAACCGAUAAAAAAAUCGCACUUAUACUAUUUGUAUGCAUGCGUUACCCUUUGUCAUUGGGGAAGUUGCCAUUAUCGUCGUUGUCAUUGUCGUCGAAAUCAUCGCAGCCGUCACCAUCGUUAAUUUGCUUCAACUCUUUUUUUCUUCUUUUUUUUUUUUACUUUCUUUUUCUCUUGUUUUUUUCUUCUUUUUUUUUUUUUUUGUUGGCCUGAGAGAGGAGGGACCCCAAAACCCCCUCUCUCUCUCUCUCUCUCUCUCUGUACGAACGAGAGAGAGAGGGAGAGAGAGGAAGAGGCGGCCCCCUCCUAAUGCCCUUUCUUUUUCUCUUUUUUUUUUGCUUUUUUUUGUUUUUAUUCCUUUUUUUUUUAAAAAAUUUAUUUUUUUAAUCUCAUGUUCCUCUUUAUAGUGAUUUUUUGACCUUUUUAUUAUGGAAAAUAAUUCAAAAUUUUUUGAAGAAAAGCUAAUAAUAUUUUUCUUUAUCUCUUUCUUUGUUAAUAUCUAGUCCCCUAAGAAAAGUAGCAAUCAAAUCACAAUUCAUUUUUUUUUCUUCUAUAUCUUCAAUUUUGAAUUUGAAUUUUUUUUUUAUCUCAAACAAAAAUUUUCAUAAUUUAGCCCCUAUUAAACCAAAGAUAAUGAAAACCAACAACUUGAUAAACCAAUUGUUUGAAGUUUGACCGACCGCUCCCGGCACAAGUAGCAAAGGGCUUGAUGGUUGGUACCCGAGAUCCCAAGUUCGAAUCUUAACUGAUUCACAUUUCCAACUAAGUUUAUUUCUAAAUGAAAUAAACGAAGUGAGAAGCAUGCUACCUAUCUCUCAAAAGAAGAAGAAAAAAAAAAAAAAAAAAAAAAAAAAAAAAAGAAAAAAGGUUUGAAGUCUGGAUGCCACAAAGACUUCACAAGAAAUAUGCUUGUAACAAUCCACAGCCCACAAGCAUAAAAUCUCACAUUUCUCCUUGGAAGCCUUGAAAGCUACACCAAACCCAACUCUACUACAAGCAUAAUAAUGAAACCUUGUAGUCUAUUUAAAGAGAUACUAACUAACAAGGUUUCAAAACACAACCUUAUACAGGAUUUCCUUCAAUUUAAACAUUUACUUUGCACCGAUUGCGCUAUUUGAUUCUCUUACAAGCUUUGUUGCCAUUCUUGUUUUCUAACAAUAAUAUUAGCGACAACCUUCACAAUGUUAAAGCCUUUGGCAGCUUAUGUGUGGAAUCAACAACAGUUACAUGAGAGGGUGGCGAAAUCUAAUGAGCCAAACCUGCGGCGAUGGAUGCCGAAUCCAUUUUCUCUCUCUUCUCAAGGAUCGAAGACAAUGCCUUGUCAAUCUCCGCAAACACGUCUUCCUUGCGGGCAUUGCCAUUUACCUGAAUUGAAUAGUGAAAGAGGACCAAAACUUAAUGCAGUGUGAUAAAACACAGUAUGGUAAACGAGUUGGUGGGCUAGAAUACUCUUAAGAGUAAACGGGUUGUUUUAACACAGAAUCAUCCUCGAAGAUGGAGAUUUUGAAUUGAUGAUCGGCAUCAUAAAAAGUGAUCUAGAGUAUUUGAAAUACUUGGGAACCAAAUUUCGUGUUUUUUAAAAAAUUAUUUGCCUAGUGACUGAAGGGGUUCAAAAUAAACAAUUCUUUAUAGCCUAUAUGAGUCUUUUGCUCGUUUAACACUGCAAAACAAUUUAAAUCUAUUGAAAUUUUUUAUAGAAUUUUUUUUUUUUUAACUAUUCAGAUCACGCUUGACAACUCUGAUAUUGAAAUGAAAAAUCAUAACCACUACUUUCACAAUGUUAUUCAUUUGCGAUCAUUUGUUUUGUAAUCACAUAAUGGACAUGGUAGCGAUUUAAAAAAAAAAAACACGAAAUUCAAUAUCUAGAUGCUGAAAAUACUCUAGAUUGUCAAUUCGAAUGCCCCAUCUUUGAAAACAAGUUGAUAGUAUGGUGGCCUGUUUACUUUUAAGAGUAUUCUAACCCAACUCAUAAUAAAAAUAAACAAUGCUUGAGCUAACAUAACAUUGUAGAGUAAAUCAAUGUAUAUAUAAAUGACAAAAAAAUUGCUCAGCGAGUCGUUAUUAGACAAAGCAGUGAAUUCAGAGAGUUAUGGUUUUAACCACCAGACAUUCAAAAGCUUAAGCAGCGUCUAACCUUAACCAAAAACUAGCAACAAAAUCGUGAAAUCAACAAUAGUUUUUGAGUUCUUUUGACUAACUGCUAUCUGAAUCCCCAAUUUCUUUGCUUAAACAUAUUAGAGCCUGCCGUUAUUUGAUUUUUACAGUUGGAUCCUUUAUGUGCUAAGGAUCGUCAAUCACACGUGGCCAUUAACACAUUUAGUGACCUCUUUACUCUUCGCUAUAAACAAAUAACAUGUAAAUGACGGAUACAGAGCAAUUAACAUAAUGCAUAGUCCCGUGUAGAGUUCAUGUAACAACUGAAAUCAAUGAAGACAGGAAUAAACGAAAUCCAGGAAGCAUAUGAUAAUCCAUUACGUUUCAUUAGAACAAUAGAUCUAGCAGAUAUUCCUAUUACGUUUGAUUAAAAUAAAGGAUAAUUUGAUUUCCAUUGGAAUAGAAGUAUUCUAACAUAAAAUUGGUUAGCCCCAUCAAUUGGGCAGCUCAUCGGGAUAUUUGGGCUAACCCAAAUCUAAGAAAAAACUUCGCUUUUUUGAGGUGUGUUUGGUCGAAUAGCGGGAUGCAUGCUACUUCUUUGGGGGUGCUUCCAGCAAGAAAGUAGAAACCAGUUCACUAGUCCGCACGCAUUUCAAGACCAAGUGAAAGAACGUUAUUGGACUUUAAAGAAAGAUGAUAGUCAGAUCUCAAGAGAUGUAUCCCGAAAAAUAACCAAGUAUGAACAACAAACGAUUAACCAGUUAAUCAAUAUAUAAGUCCCCAGAUUUAUGGUGCAGAAAAGAAAGUGAUAGUCUUUACAACUGAAUUAAUUGUUCAGAACCGAUAAUUCCUCUUAAUGUGUUCUUGCACGUCGACUACAAAGUGUACAUGAAAUCAAAGAUUUUGAUCAUAUGAAAUCAAUUUAAAGAAAAGUCAAAUUAUGAAACCCAUAUAAACAAAUUAAGUACAAGGUCAUUAGUACAAGGUCAUUAUCAAUGAUUUUUGUUCAUAUGAAAUCAAUGAUAUCGGUAAAUAUGAAAUCAAUAUAAACAAAGGUUAUGGAAUCAAUGAUUUUGAUCCCAUUAAAUCAAUAUAAACAAAGGUCAAAAUAUUGUGUUUGAGAGGGCUUUCUUUGUAAGCUGAAGGUGACCUGACCCUCUCAAGCAUAUAGAGUGAACAUUCCCAACAAUACUUUGGAACCUAAACCUAAGAUCCUAGUUUUAGUCCUUUUGAUCUUCAAUCCACUUAGUCUACCAAUUUUCUUCAAUAACAGAAGGUUAAACCCAAAGUAAAUAAGAAGCAAAAGCACCAAAGUAUAAUCCUGGGGAAAUUAUCACCCAGAUUGCAGUUGUGUCUCUACAACCAAGAAACUUUAUAUAAAAGCCGCCUAAAGAGUGAACAAAGUUGUUGGAAGCUAGAAUCAAGAAUUUGCUCGUGGACAUAAUCCCAUAAAUUUGAGUAUACAAAGAUCAUGCAUUUCUUUCAUCUCCUUUUUAUUAGAAAUUUAUAAUGUUUAUGAACGUCCACCCUUCUUAAGGAAAAUUGGAAGAGAGAGAGAGAGAGAGAGAGAGAGAGAGAGAGAGAGAGAACCAACAGGUUACUCUUCUCUGGACCCCAUAUUGGCAGGAUCUUUGCUUUAUGGGAUACUUGUAAUCAAGGAAAGUACUACUUUGCUAUCCACUCAUUUUUAGCACCCUAUCUCAAAAAUAGCUAAUUCCUUAAUUUAUUAGUUAUACUUUCACUCAUAUAAAUUUCAUUAAUAAGACCAUAGUUGUUCAUAGGUUAGACAGUUAGAAACCGAGACGUCAUGCAAGUGUUCUUGGCAAUCUGAAGUCCAUGUAAUACAUAUAUAAAUGCAUUGCAUCACAGUAUUACAUUCGCAAACAAAAGUCCUGUUAGAUAUAAUAGAGAGAGAGAGGGGGAGAGUAGUUAUGUACCUUGUAUAUUAUGUCAUCAUAUAUUGAAAGUACAGAGUCGACAUUUUGAUAAUGAGUCUGCAACCUCAACCUUACCUAUGAAUAAAGAAAAGAAAUAGAAAGCAUAAAUAGGAGAUCUAUCUCAAAUAAACCAUGUUGUUUGUCUAUAUCAGAUAAAAAAAAAUGCGCAUUAACUAACUGACAAGAAAAACAGAAACCUUAGGGCUCGUUUAGGAUCAUGUUUGUUUAUUAUUUUUUUUAAACACUAAGUCUAUAUAAUUUGAUAUGUUGGAGGAAAGACUUUCUUUUGUUGACUAGCUUACAAUACAUCCGGCUAAGUAAUAGAUGAUAACUUGUUUUAAAAAAAUUUGGAAGCAAAAAAAAAGUUGCUUUCAAAUCUUUAUUUUUCUUUUGCCAAGUAAACACUUCGGAUGAAAUUGUUGCAAUCAAUCCACUAUCCAAUUCUGCAUUUUUUUUUUAUACACAAAUUAUAUUUAAAAAAAUAAAAGACAAACACAAUGUCAAACGAGGCCUUAGUAAGCAUUGUUUCAAUUAUAACAUAAUCAUAGUUAUAUCUGUGCAAAGAAAUGUCAAAUUAGCACCCACCUUACAAUUUUUGCAUUUGAGGCCCCUGCUGUGCCAAGUAAUUAUUACAGGUAAUGUGAGUAGAUUUAGUGUUUAAUACAGAAUAAUUCUUGGAAACCAUAAAAGGUGAAUACAUUGUUUUGUAAACUUGAAACAGAAUCAAUAGAAUUUUGUAACUAAAGAAAGUAUAGUACCUUUUCUUCUGUAUCGUCAAAGCGUUGAGUAAGCCUUGAAGCGAUUUCCUCAUUCUCAGGUGGAGAGUACUUUAAAUGAUAUAUUCUUCCAGUAACAGGAUCAAGUCUCCGUCCGACCACUCUCUCAAUAAGAAUUUCAUCGGAAACCUGCAAGAACAAUUUAGUAAUAAAAAGCGAAACAAAGUCCACAAAUUGAUUACUCUUUGAAACAAAAUUCUUACUUCUAGAAGAAUGAAAAGAUCAGGUCGAAUUCCAAGAUCCUCAAGUGCCAUUGUCUGAGAUAAGCUUCUCGGAUAUCCAUCCAACAGCCAACCAUUUUCUUCAGCAUCAGGUUGCAUGAGCCGUUCCUUCACCAUCUGAGCACCAAGAAGAUAUGUUGAAAACAGUUCGACAAAAUUCAUGAGUCUAAAAAAGAAAGCUAGAUAUGCGUAUUAAUUAUAUACCAAAACAACGAUUUCAUCAGGGACCAACUUGCCCUUCUCCAUGUAUUCUUUGGCCCGCUUCCCAUUAUCAGUCCCAGCGGCAAUUUCCGCCCUAAGCAAAUCCCCAGCAGAAAUGUGUACCAGCCCAAACUGCAUAUCGGAAUUCAUUCUGUCGCUAUUCAGAAAGGAUCCACCGCACAUCGAUCCAUAAUGCAAAUGAGUCACGAAGGCAAUAUAGAACUACAACUAGGACACCGUAAAUGCAAAGUAUGGAACUACUACUAAGACACUGGAUAAGCAAAAGGCGAAACUACAACUAUUAUGGGAAUCAGAAAGUUAAACUUCGCUUCCUUCACUAUAUGUAUUUCAAACAGCAUAUUAAACCUCACGACAUCACAUGGUGAUAUAAAUAAGAGAAUAAAAAAAAUCUAAAACAAAGCAUGAAAGAGUUACAUUACAGCAAAUGACCCACAGAAAGGCAAUUGCUCCGAAUAUAAAUAAAGAGAAUUGAUGUUAAAAAAACACAUAAUUCAAAUGGAAUAACUGAAAGGAGAAAAAGUCUAAGGGAUCCAUAUACACAAGCAAUAGAACAUUAAUGUUAUGUAUAUGCAUCUGCCCAGAAUGCGCAUUCAAAACAAAAGAGCUACCUUUUUUUUUAUGAGCUCACAUUGUGUUCCUUUUCCAGAAGCCGGCGCCCCCGAAAUCAUUAUCCGCAGUGGUGCCGGUUUUGCCUCAGCUACAACCUGUUUGAGAUGAUAAUCAGAAAGAAAGCCUAAACAAAUCAAUUACAUUCUAGUGAAACUAAGUAAUGGAACAAAAAGAAAGAUCCAAGUUUACUGAAAAAUCACCAACAAUUUUAUGAAACUACGUAGUUCACACACAAUUGAAACUACGUAGCAAUUUAAGAUAAUGAAGCAAUACCCAGAUUUUUUUGAAAAAAAUAAUUUGAUUUGAAGCAAGAUCAACACAUUGUUUCUACAUUUUCUCACAACUUAUAGAUAAAAGAGUAAGAACAAGCAAUCAAAAGUAUAGACUCAUUUGUGUAGCUUGCAAAUAAACUCUCAGUGAUCAACAAAAAGGAAAAGGGUGCGGAAAGAAAGAUCUAAACAUGCUAAAAUUUAUCUUUUAAGACAAAUAAGUAAAACCUAAAUAAAAAAAAAAAAAAAAAAAAAAAUCCAAUUUUUAGCCGGACUAAUAUGCUCUCCUCCACAAUUUAAACAAUUCAAGUUAAAAAGCAUGAUAGUCAGCCUUCAAAAACAUCAUACUCAUUGGUGAAUUCGCAAAGAAACGCAAUGAUACUCAUGGUGGAGGAAACAAUUAACCACGUCUACUCAGAAGGAAUAAGGAAUGGAGAAGAAGCUCUAAAUACACAAAAACUAGUUCUUUUAAGCUAAUUAAGCAAAACCCACAUCAAAAUUAACAAAAAAAAAAAUCCAAUUUUUAGCAAAACCAAAUGCUCUCCUCCACAAAUUUCGCCAAUUUAAGGACCUCAAAACCAAUAUACUCACGGCCAAAGCUUGUAAACAAACCAAAAAGGAGACCAAAUCAAAGGGGGGUGAAGCAACUAACCGGGGAUGCACGAGAGGUCGAUUUGGACGGAGCGUUCCAUUUGAGCCCAACGGAGAUGCGCUUAAGGUGUUUGUGCUCGUGCCAAAGAGAGGCGUUUGAGGCCACGAACGAGUGAGGCGAGGAGAGAGAAGUGGUGGGCUUAUGGCUUCGGGGAGAAGCCAAAAUCGGGCUCGGCUUCGCCGCCGCCAUUGGAGAGCCCUCUCGCUCUCUCUCUCUCUCUCUCUCUCUCUCUCUAAGAAGAAUACGGGGGAGGGGGGAGAGAGCUCAGAUGCCGUGGUCGCUCAAAACCAUCCAACGGUUGUAAUAACGCCGUUAUCGUCGAACAAAACGGCGCGGUCUACGCUGUUACAGUCAUAUUUUCUUGCACCGGGUGCAUACGUGCAACUUACGGACCACACCCAAACUUUGACAAUUUGUUCAUGAAUAAUUAUCUUAUAAUUAAAAUGUGAUUACUCCCAUUCGUUUGUAUAAAUUAAAAAAUUUAAAAUGCAUGGAACACAACAUAAUUAUGAUUCAUUUUGAUUUGACUAUUUAAUAUUUUAUAAUUCUAAUUUUACUAUCUAAUCCAUAAAUUUGUUUGUUUUAAGCUAUUUUAUAACUCUUCUAUUUUGACUUGUUGGAGCAUUUUAAUGUGAUUUAAGCAACUAUAUUUUGAUUGAAGUAAUUAAUCUAUCUAAAUUUUAUAACAAGAGAGUUAUUAAAAGACUUAAAUUAAACAAGUAUAGUAGCCAAAUACCAACAUAAAACUUUUGAAAGAUUAGAUAAUUAUAUAAAAAUGAGUCAAAUUAAGUUGUGAUAACUUCUAUAUAUUUUUACCUAAACAAAUUAUAAGCAUUAAAAAAAUUAUUAAAUAAGCAUCAGGUAGUCCCAGAAAAACUAUAAUAGAAAAGAAUAUUAUUUAUAACAAAAUAUUAUUUAAUUCAUAAAUAAUAGGUGUCAGAAAAUUAUAGUUAUUGAAUCACAGACCUUGUGUGUUAUAAAAAUGCAUCUAAUUAAUUAAAUUGUAGAAUAUUUUGUUUAUAAAAAGGAAAAGUUUUAGGUGGACCUGGUCUAUGGAGCAGAUUAGACAAAAAAAAAAUAAUUACUUAUAUAUUCCUGAAAAGUUUUCGACUUUUUUAUUUACCAUACUUAGAAGACUAAUAUUUUUUUAAAAAAAAAAGGUAGCAUGGUACCCGCUUCAUUCAUUUAGGAAAUAAAUUUAGCUACAUGGAUUGAAGUAAGGAUGCAAACGGAUCCGGAUUGGUGAAGCUUCCGCCCCGAAUAGGGUAGUAAAUAGAGAAAAUAAACGGACUCAGAGCGAAAAACGGAAUAAUUUUUAUGAUCCGAGACGGAUUUGGGGCAGAAAACGGGAGAAAUUUUAACCCGCCCCAAAUCCGUCCCGCCAUGAUCCACCACAAAUCCGCCUCGACUUAUAUUUUUAAAAAAUAUCUCUAAAAAAUAAUGUAUUUACAAAAAAGUCCAAUAUACAAAUAAGUUAGUGCUCUCAUUUCUCAUAUAUUUAAAUUUUUUGAAUUUUGCUUUGCAUUGUGAUUGAUAUUUUUAAUUUUUAUAAUUAAUUUCGUUAAUUUUAUAUAUAUUAUUAUUAAAAAUUAUUAUUUUAUAUUUUAUAAAAUAUUAAUAAUAUUAUAAUUUUACAAAAAAUAUUAGUUGGCCGGGUGGAUUCGGAGUGCCGGCGGGAGGUGGGUUACGAAGCGGGGCGGAUUAUGGGAUAUAUUUUUUAACUCAUCACGGAUUCGGGACAGAAAACAGUGCAGGAUUUUGAUAGUUGGGGCGGGAGGCGGGGCCGGGCUCCCACCCCUAAAUCCACCAAGUUUGCAUCCCUAGGUUGAGGCAACGCGGCCUCAAAAAACAUUCAAGGCAACCAAAUAAAAAAGACAAAUAAAAAUAAAAAAGAAAAAUCGUAGAUAAAAUUAAUAAUUUUACUCCUCGCUCAAAUCUAAGUCACUAUAAGCUGCAAAACUUUGCCCAAUAUUAAAAAUAUUUUUUUAAUAUUUCAAGUUAUUUCAAAUAUACCCCUAAAGAUGGAUUCUGUUAGUGAAACAACCAUUAUCUCUAUAAAAUUACUCUUUUGCCCUUUUAAAUAUAUCAUUCUACUUUCACAAACUUUUCUUAUUUGAUUUUAAGUUCGGAAAAAAAAAUUAUUUUGAUUUCUUUCCUUUCAAAUAUAUCCUUCUACCACCGCUAACUUUUUUUAUUUGCUCUUAAGUUAUGGGCAAAAAUAAAUAUUUUGACUGCUUUUUAACUCUAGUAAUAAUUUAAUCUGAAAUAACUUAACAGGUACUAAUAGCGAGGGUAUUUUUAAAUAACAAAGAAUUAAUACGAUGGAUCUAUUUAACAACAAAACUUAUGGAUAAAUAACAUAUUUCAGAAAUAUUAAGAGAUAAAUAGAUAAUUAUCCCAAAACAAAUUAUCUUGUCUCCUUUAUGGGGAGAAAAUACAUUAGACCAGUGGUUUGCAAUUUAAAUUUUCCGGUUCACCGAUUGUAUGGUACUCUUGGUUUAGGUAAUAAUUCCCCUCAUAAAUUUGACAAGUAAUAGUGUUUGAGAGAAAAUGAGUACUACCACAGGUCUCGAUUUAGCGAUAAGUUUAAUUUAUAUGACAUUUGCAAUGGUGUAAGCUUUAAUUUUCUAUGGAGCUUAACUUUGAAAUUGAAUUUUAUGAUCGAUCAUUAGACCAAGUUCUAUUUUGCAUUUUUAAAAAACAACCACUUUGAUGCUCAGGAGCUUUAUAAAACGAUGUGUGCAUAAAUGGACACUUUAAGAUGUGCCGAAAGAGAAUAUAUUCUAAAGUAUUCUUACAGUUAGUAAUUGAUUUAUCUUUAUAUUAUAAUAUGACUAAGCGAAAAUUAUAGACUAACUAAGAAAAUAAUAGAAUAUUAUAAGUUAUAUAAUUUCCUAAUGUAAUAAUAUUGAACAAAACAAUAAAAAAAAAAUUGAAAAAGAAGAGGUGGAUUAAUCAACUGCACAUACUCAUGCACACAAAUCAUUCACCAGUUAACCACACAUAACAAGGAUAAACAACACACUAAAUUUUAUUCACAUCUUCCAAAACAUCCUCAGAAAUGUUCAAAUUUUUUCUAAAAACACAUCAUUUGAUCCAACUGGUCAGAGAGUUGCAUAGAGCUUUAGCUAGAGUAUGUUGCACCCAAAUGGCAGCAACUCUUCAACAAAAACCACAUGGCUCAGACCAUGUGACCUGCAAGUGCUGCAGCAUGGAGGCAGAAGCUUGCUGGUUCCUGAUGCUUCCUUCUCUUCUUUCUUCUCCUCUCUUUUCGGUUCGACGCUCACGACCUCCACCGCCUUCCCUGCCUUCUUCAGCUCCUUCCCGACCCGCAACACGUCCACGUCCCCCACCACCGUCAGCGUGCUCUUCUCCGCGUCCAACGCCAGCGAUUGUAUCCCUAAGUAAUCAUCAACCAUCCAAGAAAAUCGACACAGUGAUAUACAUACGCAUAAACAUAUAUGCGCGCAUUUAUAUAUACGUAUAUAUCUUUUCGUGAUCUUAGUUUAGGGUAAAAUGUAUGGAUAGUCGCUGUACUAUCCUGAUAUUGCAAAUUGUCAGUACUCGAACGUUAAGAAAAAUAAAAAAUAAAAACUAAAAUUUUGCAAUAAAAUAGAUUACUUAAUCAUAGCUGAUUAAACCAAAAUAAGCCAGACAGUUUGCAGCAGAAACAAAAUAGUUCUUUCAUCAAAAACAUUUAACUUUUGAGCUCAAGUUUCAUGCGUGCGCGCACACUCGCAAGUAGAGAUGAAGAGAGAAAGGCGGUUUACUAACCGUUGAGCCGUGCGACUGAUUUCAUAAUGCUGGUUUGGCACCUGUCACAGUUGAUGCACACUUUCAACACAAUCUUCUGCAAAUCAUUUCAAAGAACAAAAGAAGAUCAGAAGUUACUUCGAAUAAAAAGAAAAACACAAAUUAACAGAUCAAAGAACUGAAGAAGAAUAGAGGAAGAUCUUUAAUAUUUAGCUAGCAAUUAGUCCGUAGGUACUAACCUUCAUAUUUACUUGCUACACAAACAGGGGAUUAAUAUCGGAUAGAUGAUUACUCGAGGCCGGUUCGAAGCAAAUAGAUAGAUAGAUAGUUCCCAAUUACACCAUGAAAUGGUUGGAGCUCUGAAUAUGAAGCCUCAGACUAAAUCAUGAGGAAUUAGUUGCUGUAAUCAUCUUACAAGUCAUCACAAGAAACUUGCUUUAAAUAUUUAUAGUAAUACAUGUGAUCAUGAGAAGCAUUUAAGGGAACUCUCUCAGUUACACUUAGAAAUUUUCAUGUUAAUGUAGGAAGCAAUGAGGACCACAUUUCCCCAAAGGGCCCUUUGAGGCAGGUGAGGAUGAGUAGUACUAAUUCAGAUACUCCAGUAAUAUUGCUGAAUCUGAGUAUAUAAUUUUCAUUUAUGUCCUUCUAAACACAGUUAUUUUGAUUUACGAAUUGAGUACUAUAUGCAUACGAGGUAAAUUACAUUAUAAUCCUUCCAUCGACAACUCCUGUUGAUUUAUUCUCUAUGGAUAAAGAUUCUCUUACAUUGUUACGGUUCUCUCCUUUUCUUGGUAAUUUUUCGGUAAAAUUGCAUGAUAGACCCUGUGAUAUCCUGGAAUUGAGACACAGUCCAUACGCUUUUUGCUUGAAGAUUUAGUCCCCGAACUUUUAGAUAUAUGGCAUUUUAGUCCCUGACUGUACAAAAUAUCUAAUUUUUCUUGCAAAGGAUAAUUUCGCCCGUUUCUAUAAAAUGACUUAUUCAUCGUAGUUUAAACGUCGUUAAAACAAAGGUAACUAAGUUUUAACAAUCAAGGACUAAAAGUAUAAUAUAUGUGAAAGUUCAAGGAAUAAAGUGUUUGAGCUAAAACUUGAAAAGUAUAGAGAGCCAGUCGCAAAAUCAGGAUAGCAGACGAUCCAUGCAUUUUGCCCUAGAUUAUAUUCCUUGACUUAUUCCUCGCUUGAUUCAGUUUGUUCACUCUCUACAGGCGCAUUUGCUUCAAUUUCUGCUGCAGGAACAUCAUCCAUUGUUGCAGGUUGUGAUUCAACAUGUGCUUCUGAUGCGGCGGUUGGAGCUGAAGCUGAUUCAGCAGGAAAAGGGAAUGGCGAGUCUGGAGUGAACGCCUCUGCAUUGAACUUGCCAUUUUGCGGCACCGUGGGAUCCAUCACAGCCUUGAAUGCUUCUCGAAUCGCCUUUCUCUGCAAGAAGCAAAGAUGAAAUGUCUUCGAAGAAAGAAGAUGAUUUGUUUAGACGACGAAGGUCUUGAGCUCGAAAUAUUUGUUGAAUUCGAUUAGAUACCUCAUCCCUUGUGGGAUAUUUUCAUCUACAAUCCUUCUGAAAUUAGAUAACUCUUUGAAACAUGUAUACUAAGAUAUAAAUCAGGGGAUGGGAUAACCUCACCUUAAAUUUCGUCGCCACCUGCCAUAUGUAUGCCAUUUACAGCAUCAGAAAAACUGGCAGCAGGAGGCUUGUAAAACCAACAUUUAGAGAAAAGCCUUACCACUGAAAAUGUUGCUGAUACCCCAACUCCAACUCCAAUCCACAGAAGAGGUGAGCCUCUUCAAGAGUCGCGAGAAACAAAUUUCAAGAAGUGAGAAUCUCAGUAAGUGCAUGAAAUGAAUAGCCCCUGAACUUUUUGUGAACUGCUUUUAGAAUUCAGACCCUCAUUAUUUUUCACUUAAAAACGAUUUUAGAUAUUAAAUAUGUUCAGCUCCAAGCAGAUGUUGGUUGGAGAUUUUGGAUGGAAAAUGCACCAAUAUAUGAAUGAGACACUGCGAGGAAUUCAAAAAGUUCCUGGAGUAAUUUGUUUAGGUGUCACAAAGUAAAAGAUCAAUUCCCCUACAUUUUACCGAUAAUUAUAUUGAAUCAGAUGCAUUAACUUCGAAAAAUGAAAACACCGACAAGGUAUCUAACUUACAUGCAGCUUGCUGCGUAUGGCUCCAAAAAUCGAGGAGUUUGACAAGCAAUAGAUGCCUCAUUGUCAGCUGACGACGGAAUGCUCGUGUAGCUCUGCAUUUCCGGUUUCUCUGCAACUACAGAAAAUCAACAACAAUUUUUGAAAAAGAAAAACAAUUAUCAAUUAAAUGAACUACGGAAAAUUAAGAAUAUAGAGUAGCAUGAGGCAGAUACACAACUACAGAAACCAAAUUAAGCAUUUUGAUUAAUUCGUAGACGAUUACGGCACAAUAAACGGAGCAGCAAUUUGAGCCACAUAAAUAAGUAAUUUGCAAGAACUAACUAAUUAACUACAAAUUUUGCAAGCUUGAAUGUACCGCCAAAGAGGUGAGCAGAAACAGCUAAACAUGUUUACUUGUAAGAGCAGAAUAGAUUGAGUUGAAACUUUAGAUAUAAAUUUUGAUAUGAUAGUUGAAAUUUUAGAUAUAAAUAGACUUUUUUAUAAUUGAGUUGGGUUUUAUAUUUAGAAUGGGCAAAAAAUCAAAUAAUAAAAAUCUGUAUUUUAUAUAUAUAUAUAUAUAUAUAUAUAUAUAUAUAUAUAUAUAUAGAAUUAGGCUGGAAUACUAUUAAUAGUAAAACGCUCUUUUUACUAUCAAGUUUUUAACCCUUGGAUGAAAAAUUGUAGGGUCAGGAUGAUAUUAGUCAGUUAGAGUUGAGUGGUCCCCCUAGGGUUGAGUGCCGUCCCCACUGGUAAUAGUAUUUAAUCCAAUGGUUAGAAAUAAUGAAAAGAGUUGAUCCAAAGGCUAAAAAACUGGUAGCAAUAAUAGGAUUUUGCUACUAAUAGUAGUCCAGUCCAACUCUAUAUAUAUAUAUAUAAUAUAUAUUAUAUAUAUAUAUAUAUAUAUAUAUAUAUAUAUAUAAAUUUGAGUUGCCUAUACUAUAGUGUUUUAAAUCAUUAGAUCCUCUUUGAGAUCCGUGUACAGAUUUGGAAGAUUAAGUAUAAUGAAGGGAGAUGCAGCUAGUACACCGGUUAACAGAAAAAAUAAAAAGGAAAGAAAAUCCCACUUCAAACCUUACUCUCUCUCUCUCUCUCUCUUCUGACCUCAACUCCACAUCUCUCCUCCCUCACCCGCUCCUCCCCCCCCCCCCCACCUCGGGAAAACUCCCACAAAUCACAAAUCUUGUAUUUUUUUUACAUAAUUUUUUAUUUUUAUAAAAAUCAGUAAAAAAAUAUAAAAUUGUACGAAGAAUCGUGUAUUUAAAUAAUUUUUUUACAGAAAAUAUAAAAAUUUAUUUAGUACCAAUCUUGUAGAAUUUUUUUAAUAAAAAUAUAAAUAAAAUACGUAGAAAAAAAAGAAAAUACAAGUAUCUUGUAUUUUUUUAAAAGAUCCAUACCUCAUGACUGUUUUUUUUAUAAAUUUUUACAAAAUUACAUUAAAAUAUAAAUUUUAAUUCAAUAAAAAAAAUAUUAGAAAAAAUAAAAAAAAUUAUCAUUUUUUAUAAUUGUAAAAAAUUGCAUAUGCUCAUUAUUUUAUUUUUUAAAUAAUUUUAAAAAAAUAAAAAAAUUCAGCUAAAAAUAGAAAUAAAUAUGUGGAAAAAAAUUUGUAAGGUUUGAAGUAGGAUUCUCUCUCCUCUUUAAUUUUCCUAUUAACGGAGGGAGAGAGAGGUUUGAAGUGGGAUUAUCUCUCCUCUUUUAUUUCUCUGUUAACGGUGUUACUAGCUGCAUCCCACUUCAUCCCACUUAAUCUCCCAAAUCUAUGCACGGAUCUCAAAGAGGAUCCAACGGUUUAAAACACUAUAGUAUAAGAGCUUCUAUACUAUUGAUAGUAUAGAAGCACAACUCUAUAUAAUUAUUUAUAUAUAUAAAAAUAUAAAUUAUAUAAAUUAUAUUAAAUAUAAAAUAUAUGUAUUCGAGUUAUUAUAGGGCCGAACACAAGCGAGCUGACCCCAACUCGUGUUCGGCUUGUUUAUUAAACGAGCUGAAAAAUUCAACUCGUUUAGUAAACAAACGAUUCGAUCUCGAGCUCAUUUCAAGCCGAACGGGAGCUGACUCGUGAACAGCGAGCUCAAUUACCACCCUACAUCUUAUUUUGAGUACAUUGAUCAAUCUAAGGGCAUUUGUGUCAUUUUACUCACGUAAUACUAGUUGUUCGCGUGGUUAAUGUUAACUUUCUAAAGUUGAGGGGGUCAUCCGCAAAUUUGCGAUUGUUCAGAUGAGUCUAAUGCAUUUAUUCCAAAAAAAAACCAAAACAAUAUGAUACCAAAAUUGAACUAGUGAGCUAAAAACCCAUUGUUCUUGGAGAAUUACCACCACUUAAGAGAAAUAAUGGUCUAAUUAUGCGAACUUGGUCCCUAUACGUGAAUCGAAAGAUGAAAAUCGAUAUAAAGAAGCCAUUGAUUUAAGAUUUCUUCGUAGAAACAUCACCUUUAUCUCCAUCGGUGAGAGAGGAGGCGAAGCACCCGAUUCUCCUCCUAAUUGGAGCGGGGAAUUUGGGGAAAAGCUUAUUGGGGAUCGGAGAACACGGGAUUGAUGCGAAUUUGGGGGAGAUUAGGGUAAUUCGAUCCAUUCGGAAACCCUAGGGCUUCUUCGUUGUGGGCUUCGAGAGUAGGGUUAUAGAGCGAGUUAUAGAGAGGAGGGGAGGGGACGAGAGGGGCAAAAUGGGAAUUUGCGUGAACGCGUUUAUUUCGUGUGAGCGUGGGGUACGGCAGUGGCGGGAAAUUAGGUAAAUAUGUAAAGAGACCCCUCAACUAUAGACUUUUUCAAAUGAAGGACCCUAAAAAUUUUAUUAAAUUUUUCAGAAUUUAAAUUAAUUUGACUAAUUAAAAUGAUUUAUGCAUUUUAUUGGUGAUUCCAUUCAAUUUAAUAGUUAUAUCUAUCUUUUAGAAAGUAAAAUAGAAAGAAUUAAUGGCUAAUAACAAGAAGAUUCACGAAAUUUUAUAAAUAUUUUAGCUUCACUAACUAGAAAAACUAAAAUUUAAAAAUUAAAAAAUUAAAAAUUAAAAAUGUUAGUAAAAUGGGAAAAGUUGAGGGGCUUUUACCAGCAUAUUAUUGGAGAGAGGAAUGGUAAUUGAUAAGUCCAAAUAAUUGUAGUUAUUAUUGAUUUUUCAUUUCUUUUUUUUUUUUACCGAAAUGCCCUUAUCACAUUUAUUGGAUGCAAAAUCACGGCAUCUUGAAGGUCGGAAAAAUUGCAUUCUAGCCCCCUACAUUUUAAUUUAGUUUUAGUGCAGUGCUUGAACUUUUGUGCUUGGAUGUUCAACGUUUUAAAACUUUUAGAAGUGUUUUAUGAUAGAUUUGUAUCAGUACGUAAAACAAUAAUAAAAAUAAAUAGAUAUUAAAAUUCAGGAUCAUUAACAAAAUUAUAAUGACUCACGGAGCAUCAUAGCCCAUACAGAAAAAAUUUUUGAUUGAUCUCCGGAAGCGAGAAGUCUGGCUAUAAUCUGAACGUCAACAACCGAAUUUAGAUAAUUUGGUUUCUCCUUCUAUCCCAGACAUUUUCCUUUAUGUAUGGAGCCAAUGAUAAUUCUUUAUCAGAAUGCGUAUGAGAAAGGUAGCAUGACCAAUACUCUUUUAUAUAGAAUCAGAUCAACUUCCCAUCAAAAUCUAGGAUUCUAUUUAAUUUAAAUGGAUAGAAAAAGGAUAAGAUAUAUCAUAUCAAGUAGUUCUAUAUCUAUUAAGAAUGAUUUUUAUUUAUAAUAAAUUCAAAUUUAAUUAUGAUUAAUUGGGGCAAUUAUGAAAAUUCUAACAUUUUACACUAUAAUAAUCUUUAGCAAAAAUACAUUUUUCAAUAUUUAGGUGGAGAAAAGAGGAGAACUAACGCCAUGUCUAGUUUUAUUUGAGAAAAUAAUUUCUCAAAUUUGAUUUUUUUUUAAAGAAAAAAUCUUAAUCUAGCAUCAUUUAGCUAGACUGAUUAGAAAAGAGAAAAUACCCGACCCCAUUGAUUUAUAAUAAUAGAUUUAUUACAAAAUGGUUAUAGUUAAUAGUGGAAGUAGUAGUAGUAGUAGUAGUAGAAGGUAGUAGUAUUUAAAUAAUUAACUAAUUGUAGUUGAUAAUCACUACUAAUUAGGGCCGGCAAUCUAGUUCGUUGUUUGCAAACUAACUUGCGUUCGGCUCAAAAUGAGCUCGAAAUCGAUCGUUUAUUUAAAUAAAUAAAUAGCGAGCUGGAUUGGCUCACUCGUGUUCGGCUCAAUAUAAUGUGUAUGUGUGUACUACAAUUUUUUACUAAUUGAAUCUAGGCUAACCAAAUAUAAAGAGACCUAUAUUUUAUAAAGGCUAAAUUAAAGAAAACCCUCCGGCCAAUAUCUUUUUUUCACUUUCUCCUCCUGUCAUUCAAAAACCCACGCAUUGCCCUUUUAAAAAAAUAUAUUCAUUUUGAUCCCCGCCGUCAGUGUUUCGUUACGGUUCCGUUUAUAUCCUAUUUUUUAUACCCAAAAUAACCCCAAAACCCUCCUCCUUAUUACUUAUCCUCGGCCGCACCGUCUCACCCUCCGCCGCCUUGCCCUCGCCCAUCUCUCCGUCCAUGCCCACACACACCCUCGCCCACCUCCGCCACCUCACCCUCGCCCUCGCCCAUCUCUCCGUCCACGCCCACCCGAAAGAAAAUGANCCUCACCCUCACCCACCUCUCCGUCCACGCCCACCCGGAAGAAAAUGAGAGGUAAUUUGGUUAUUUUGUCAUAGCGUGCCCCGCUAUGAAUAUUUUUAUUUUUUAAGAGAGUAAAGUGUAGAUUUUUUAACGACAUAGGGGGAAAGCGAAAAAACGGGUAUUAAUAUGGAAGUUUUCUAUAAGUUAGCUUUUUAUAUAUUUUAAUUUUUAAAUUUUCUUUCAAUUUUCUCGCUAGUAGUAGUGCUGGUAAUUUAACUUAUUAUUCGCAGGUUAACUCAUAUUUGACUCGCUAAUAAACAAGUCAAACACGAGCUGAAAUUUUCAACUCGAUUUUUUAACAAACCCGCUCAUGUUCGACUUAUUCAAUAAAUGAACGAACACGAGCCAGUCCUAGCUCACUCAUAUUCAGCUUGUUGACAACCCUACUAAUAAUAAUUAGUUUGUAAUAAUAAUAAAUAAUAAUAAUCAAAUAAUUAUAGUUAAUAGUUAAUAAUCACUAAUUUUUAGAUAUUAAUAAUAUUUAAAAAUAAUUAUUUUUUAAUAAUAAUAACAUUAUUAUUAAUUUAUUUUUAUUAGCAUUAUUAUUAUUAUUGUUGUUAUUCUUCUAUUUCUUCUUCUUAUUAAAUCAUAAUGAUUGUAAUAAUAAAUUAUUAUUAUUAUUCAAUCAUGAUAUUAUUUACACCACUAGAUAUGAACAUGAUUAUCACUCGACAUAACAGUUAGCACAACUAAAAAAUCUACAAGAUCUAAGGAUAAUAUGACUAUACACUAUAUAUAAAUAAAUGUGAUAUAAUUAUUAUUAUUAUCUAUACCUAAACAUUAUUUCUCCUAAUUUUUUGCCACGUGGCAAAUUCUCCUUCACUCUUUUCUCUUCUCUCUUUCCACUCUCAUUUUCACCCAAUGUUUCAUCUUCCUAAACCCCCACUCAAUUAAUAUGUUUACAUAAUACCAUCUCCACCCAAUGCUUCAUCUUCCUAACCCCCCUAUCUCUCAAUUAAUAUGUUUAUAUGGUUUCAUCUCCAUUUCUUCAUAUCUUUUUUUUCAUAUUGUUUUUUUUUCUCCCCCUUAUCUCUCAAUUAAUAUGUUUACAUGAUUUAAUCUCUAUUUCUUCAUAUCUUUUUUUUCUUUUUUUCUUGGCGCACAAAAAGGGCUCAUGUUUUGUAACUUUUUAAAAUUUUUUAUUGUGUGUGGAUUGAAAUUAGGGUUUCGAGGAUCGCGACGGAGCGCUGCAGAAAAAAACGGUGAUGGAUUUGGAGUCAAUGAUAGAGAAGAAGCAGUGGAUGUGGAUACAGGAUUGAUAUGGUCGUGACUAAAGAGGAGCUAGACACUAGCGGCGAACGCGAUGUAAAGAUCAGAAUUUGCCUCUCCGAUGUCGAUAGUGCAAUGAAGAUGUGUAUGGGGUAAAAAAAAUUUUAUUGCUUAUUUUAUUAUUAUUAUGUGUGAUUUAUUUAUCGAAAUUAUAAAUUUUGUUAUAUCUAUACCUAUAUCUAUUUUAUAUUUUAUAUUUGUGUUUAUUGAAGUCCCAUAUCAAAUCAAAAAAUUUAAAAUUUUUAUUUUAUUUAUAUUUUAUAUUCUAUAGUAUCAUUCCGCCGCAAUGCGCGGGUAACUUCACUAGUUAUACUUUAUUUGACAAUACACUCAAUAUAAUUAAAUAUCUAAUAUGGUUAUACAUUUGACAAAAUAGUUGACAUUACUUAAAACAUCGAUAUGAUAUUAAAACGAUAUGACUCCACAUUACAUGUAAAUAAAGGUGAUAUAACACUAUACUAAAUGUACGUAAAGGAGACGGUACACUUGACUUGAUUACAUAUUAAAUACAGUGACAUAAAAAUUUGACAUGAUUAUAUGCUACACAAAACUACAAAAAUAAUAUGACUAUAUUCCUACAAACUUUGAUUUUAAUAUUAAAAAAGGGAAAAAAAAUUCUAUAUAAACAGUUGGAUAUUCAUUGCUUUCCACCUCAUUUUUAUUCCUCUUAUACAAACUUGGCCAAUUUGUAUAAAAAAUUUAUUAGUUUUGAGUUUUAUGCAAAAGUAGGCUAAUUUUUUAAAUUUUGCGGAUUCGGGUCGAAUUUUUAGAAAAUUAAUCAAAAUACCCUUAUUUCUUUUUUUCUUUUUAUUUUUUUCUCGUUCUUUUUUUCUUUCUCUUUGAACAGGGCUGCGGAGGCAGUGGCAGCGCACCUCGCCUCUGUUCCACGUGCUCUCGCCCUCACCCGCUCACCCUUCCUCUGCCUUCCUUGCCUCCAAUCCUACCAAGGCCGCACCACGACCCUCUUUUUUUUUCUCUCCGAUCCUCCUCCACCGCCUUCCCAAUUUUUUAUAACAGUAAAGAGGGCAACGUCACAUCCUCUUGCUCUCAUUUUUUUCUCUCGUUCUUUUUUUUCUCUUCAAGCCCCCUCUACCACCUUUGCGACCCUCCACAACGAUAACGAGGACAACGUGCAUCCUCCUCCUCCACUUUCACCUGCGCCGGUACCGACGCCAGCGCCGAAGAAGGAGAACUCAGAGCGAGUAUGGGUGAAAGUGGAGCCGAGAAAAAAGAUACAGAAAAUAAAACAAAUAAAAAGAAUAAAUAACAAAAUAUAAAGAAAAAUACUUUUUUCUACAAAAAAAAAAAUGAAGAAUCAAAGAAAAAAGAAUAAAGAUGAUGAAGUUGCACCGUUUCAAGGAAACAUUGCACUAUUUCAGAAAAAGGUUACACUAUUUUAGAAGAAAAUUACACUCUUUAAGAAAAAAAUUAUUCUUUUUUGGACGAAAAUUGCACUAUUUGAAUAAAAAUUACAGUCUUUGGGCAAAAAUUAUACUGUUUCUCCUCUUCCUCCUCUUUCUUCUCUUUCCUCUUUGUUUUCGUUCAUUUUUUCUGUACCCAUCUCUUCUUCGUCCUCCACCUCCAUCGACAGAUCCUCCUCCCUCGCCUGUCCCACGCGCCCUCACUCCUGCCCGCCCACAACCCGCCUAUCUCUCUCUGAUCCUCUUUUUUUUUCCCCUCUCCGGCGGUGGAGGAGGGUCGAAAAAAAAAAGAAAACCGCGACCUCGGUGGGGUUGGAGGCAAGGAGGGCGGAGUAUGGGCCGGCACGGGCGAGGGCGCGCGAGGCAGAAGGCGAGGGUGAAGUAUCUGCCAACGGAGGUGGGGAGUGAAGAAGAGAUAGGCACAAAAGAAACACACGAAAAUGAAAAUGAAGGAUAAAAAAGAGAGGAAGAGAAGAAACAGUAUAAUUUUUGUUCAAAGAGUGCAACUUUCUUUCAAAGAAUGCAACUUUUGCUAAUAGGGUCACUGACUAUUUAGCACGUCAUGUGCUUAAUUCAGGAACUAAACUGGUUUUUGAUUCUAGCAGUGACCUUCCCACAGACUUUUUUUGGAUACUUUUUGAAAACUCUGUAAGUAGAGUCUUUUUACGCAAAGUGUAAUCAGUUUUUACUUUUAAUCAAUUAGCCUGUUGUCUCUUUUGACCCAAAAAAAAAAUUAGGGGGCUAGAAUGUAAUUUACCCGACUAUCUAGAUGCCGUGACUCCGCAUCCAAUAAACGUGAUUGGGGCAUUUUAGGGCCAAAAAAAAACAAAAGAAAUAUCAAUAGUAACUACCAUUAUUUGAACUCACCACAUUAUCACUCCUCUCUUCAAUAAUUUUAUUUUCUGGUAAACAUAUACUCCAAGUCUCCAACUAUAGCCUAUUUUCAAAAUAGCCCCUCAACUUUACUUUUUUUUAUUUAGGACUAAAUACUAGUGGAUCGUUCUAAAGUUUAAAAAUAACUUAUAUAUCUCUCCAAAUUUAAGUUUACUUGCAUACCUUUCUAAACUUCUAAUACCUACAAAAAUAUCUUCCGAGUAAAGUUUUAUCAAUUUCUGUUAAAGAAAAUUUAAUUUCUUCUCUUCUUUCUCUCUUUUCUUUCUUUUCUUUUAUUCGUCUAAAAAAUUACUUCAUCUUCUUUUUUUUUUCUUCCAAACUGACCGUUUAUUUUAUCUCUUUUAUAGCCUUAAAAUUUGAUAGACAGCAUAACAUUUUGGUAGAAGAUGAACUUAUCAUUUGAAUUUAUUUUAUUUUUUUUUUGGUCUGCUAGAUUGGAAGCUAAAAAAAGUUUAACAAAAUUUGGUAAAAAUUUAAUUGAAUUGGUAUAUAUUGACUUAAAUUUUGGAAGGAUAUAUAAGUUAUUUUUAAAUUUUAAAAUUGAUAUAUUAGUAUAUAAUCCUUUUACAACAUCUUAAAUUUUUAAAUUCUUAAAAUUUAUUUAAGUUAUUCUUAUAUUACAACAUCGAAGCGCCGCCACCUCCGCCGUGACCGCUCUGCUCCGCAUAUUUCAAGAGGUUGCCGUCAUCCUCGAGGUCAUUUUAAAAAAUGGUCAAAAUUAACAACAUCUCUAUUCUCAGCCGCCACGAUACGGUUGAAACCCUAUGCCUCCCUCGUCUAUUACACCACGCUCUUCGAGACCUCAAUGGACCCUCGUCUAUUACACCACGCUCUUGGAGACCUCAAAGGACGCCAACAAGAUCGCGCACUCAAAUUCAUCCCAACUUCCACUGGGUAAAUGAUAAAUUUCCUCUUCUUUCUCUCUUUUUUUGGUUGGUGAAUGAAAAAUUUUUCUGUGCAUAUUUUGGAUUCCAUUUUUUUUUUUUCUUUAAAUUUUUACAAGUCAUAUUCUAACUACUUAUCAUCGUAUAUUUUUAUCAAAUUCUUUGCACUUUCAUUAGCAGCUACUAGCUAAUUUGAUACAAAAUAAGGGAAUGUCUUGAGCCAUGCUAUCAGCAUAAAAAUCAUAUCGUGAUGAUACUUUAUCGACACGGUACGAGACCGUAGGCACAGACUGUGCCGAUGGGCACUUAAAUCCUUGCAGCAGAAAUAUUUUUCCGCAAAUUUGCUACCAGAACGGAUUUUGAAACUCUGCACCGGAAAACAAAAAGGCUGAUAGCAUGCUGAAACUCCAGCCUUGAUGGAAGAUACAAACUGAUUUACUCUUCCAACUGAAUUCCGUUCGUCGGAACUGGAAAAACAGGAGGAUAAAAUGGAGCUCUCACUUCUGCUUGAGUGGGCUUUGAACAUUUAUCUUCUGCAGGUUCAACAGCAAUUCACUGGAGUCCAAGAAAACCUUGUUGGUGGAGUUGGAAAGCAUGUGGGAUAUUUCUCGCGCAGCUUCGAUCUGCCUCAGAGCGAGAAACGCCGGGUUGUUUGCGAUAGCCUUGCCGAUAAGCUCGGCACUUUUUGCCUCGCCCUGUAAGCACAAGAGAGAACAGUCAUCGAAACGUAGCACCAGGUCCUUCAUCAAAGUAUAAAAAUAUCAUACAGGGCAUUAUGUUUUGGCGACAACUGCAUUGAAGAGGUGGGAAAUUACAGUGCUUUUCUCAAUAGCAGAAGGCACAAAUCCCACUUGGUUUCAUCAUACGUACCAACAAUUCGGGAUAAUUUUCUCUCUCUUUUCUAUUUCCGCUUCGUUUAGUCGAAUGCAGGGAAACAAUUGGUGUCUUCCCCUUAGACCCACAAGGGAAAAGUGCCUACUUACGGAACAAGAACCUCACAAAUACUGAGAAUGUAAUCACAUGGUCACCAAUUUCAGUGUAAAUCGGGAUCUCACAAGAGUAAACAACGUAAUAAUUUUAACCUUUGCUGCCAAAUUAGGUCUAUUGCUACCUAUUUAUUCUCACCAAUGUUUUCUCUGUUCCUGUAUGCCCCUUUUAGCCCUUCACUUUGAUAGGGAAUGAGAACUACUCAGACAAAGAAUGAAUAACUUGCCGCAAUGAAAAUUUUCCAAUUAACAAGCAAACUCGGAACAUAUUUCUUGGCUAAUUAAGUGAUUCAGAUGCUCCUAAAAUCAUAUUUUACCAACCUAAGCAAGCAAAGUAACCAUAUGGAUUGAUGAAAAACUAAAAAAAAGAAAUUGACAUAUAUUAGGUGCAGCAAGAGAAAAGAAACUUAAGAACUAAACCAGAGCAAUAGAAGUUUUAUACUUCCGAUGUUAGAGACAGAAGGUACAUCACUUCCAACAAAUCCUACGUUACAGUUCGAGUAAUAAAUAAAUAAGCUCACCUGAGCCCUGAUAACUGCACUUUUCUUGUCUUGCUCUGCUUUCUCAACAAUGAACUUGGCACGCUCAGCGUCUUGUGCAGCAACCUGUUUAGCUUCAAUUGCAUGAGUAAAUUCCUUCCCAAAGCUAAGGCUCGUGAUGGACACAUCAUCCAGCGCAAUAUUGAAGUUAUGGGCCCUCUCUGUCAAUAUUUUCCGUAUUUCCCUGCUAACAGUCUACAGAAAGAUGAGGGAAAAAAGAACUCAGUUUUCCUCAAUCAAUGCCUAUCCCAUCCAGCUAUGCAUACUAAUGAUUUCAAACCUAUCUUUCCAAAGCUUGGCAAUAUACAUAAUAUAAAGAAGAGGGUUUCAUACAAAUAUCUAUCCCUGAAAACUAUUUUACAUAUAUACACGUCUAAAAUCAUAAUUCCCAUGUGCGCACAUCAAACUGCGGUUCUAUCUUAAUCUGCGGAGUCAUUCAUCUUGCGGUGGUAAAUAGGCUUCACAUUAGAAAAAGUUUUCUGAGGAGAAAUUUCAUGAGUAAUAGUGCAUAUGCGGCAACAAAUUAAGUCUGGCAUAUAUGAAAAUUGAUAUUUUGAACGGGGCAUACAAAAAUUGAUAAAUUUGCAGGAAUAGAUAUGUAAAUAUUUCUAUAAAUAAAUGGGAAACAUGUAAAUAUUUCUAUAAAUAAAUGGGAAGAUGAUCACCUCUCUUUGCGUGAUGAGCUGGCUGGCAUUGUAUUGAGCAACAACAGCUUUCAACGUCUCGUGAAUAAUAGAAGGCAGGACUCUCUCAUUAUAGUUCUGGCCAAGGGUUCUGUAUAUAGUAGGCAGCCUCUCUGGUAGAGGUCUUGUAAGGACUCUAAGGCCAAUUUUCACCUGUUCAUAUAUGAAAGCUUCACAACCAGUUCUUCUCAUAUGUCUAAGUCCAUAUUUGGAGAAUGAGAAUUUUGACUUUCUAAGAGUCUAGUAAUAGAAUAAUCGAGCAUGCAGGUACAUAUGAAAGUAAAAGUAAACAGCAUCAUGUAAUAAUGGAAUCAGUGAAUCACAUGUUGCCAGAUUAAAUUACCAUCACAAGAAAAAAGAAACAGAAGUCUAACUAAAAUAUAUCAAAAUAUGUGUCUUCCCAUAUGAGAAAGAGGCUAAAGGGCAUAAAUCAAAAUUGUACAGAGAAAAAUAAAUCCAGAAACAUGAAUGCAACAAAAAGAAAAAAAAGAAUAGAAGCCCUAUCAAAUUGAAAAUGAGAAGAGCAAACAUUAAAUAUAGCUGCCAAUAUACCUGGUACUAUGACUACAUUGUAACAAACUAACAAUAUAGAUGGUUAUAUAAGGAUUGAACUUGUAGAAGAGAUGCAACAAGCAAAUUUUCUAAGGCAGGCUCAGAUCAUUCUAUGCUUGAACUCGCAAAUUCAGGAGUUGAUUAGAAAAAGCUACAGGUAAAAACAGUCCAUGUCUUUUCCAGCAUAGGCGGUUAAAGGCUAAACAAAACAGCUAGAGUUUUAUCCACCAGGUCCAAGCUGUACAAAUAUUGUUCUGAGAAUUUAAUAUUGCAUAACCAUAUUAUAUAGAAGAGUUGGCAUCUGUAAAUGGGCCUCAACUAACAGAUGUUACGAGAAAGACAAGGCCAUGGAGAAGUGGAAAUAAAAAAUCAUGAUUCACUUAGUGCUACUUAACGAAGAGAUACAGUUACAAUUUAGACAUAAAAAACCUAAAAAUAGCAGCCUCUGUUGAGAACAAAAUGAGGGACCAUUGCUAAAUGAGGAAUGGUAUACUUACUUGUUUAUGGAAGGGCCGCAUGAAACAAAGGGAUGCAUCACAACUAACAGAAUAGUAAGGUAACCAAAGUAAUAAAAAGGAAGUAAAGGAAUAUCAAAAUGACAUGGCUAGAGAUAAUAAAGGAAACAUAUAUGGUAGAGAGAAAAGAUGGCUGUAGUAUUCAGAGGACAAGGAGGAUUUACAUGAUAGAUCCCACUAAAUUCUUUGAGGAUUCAAACAGACGACCAAAUUUCACAUGAAUUUAUGAUAGUUUUAGGUUUGUUUAGUUGAUUUCAACUAAGAGAAGUUUUGAGGCUUGUUUAGUUGAUUUGAAAUCACGGGGACAGUAGAUUAGCUACCACAAAGAUUAUGCUACAAAUUACUGGAUUAGAUGCAUUCCAUGUUUCAACAUGUGCACAAUGUUAAAUGUCUAGAGAUAUUUCACUGUCGUAAUUUCUCGAUUCCAAAUGCUGUUUUCUGGGGUCAGAUAUUAGUCCGAGGAAUCGGUCCAACCAAGACAAAAAAGAAAUCAAGGAGCUAAGGGAAUUAGUGUAGCAAUCAAAAUGUAAAAUACAGUUCACAAAUUUUCAUAACGAUAAUUCUAGUUGACAAACCCGUAAAAAAAAAAUUUUGUAGCAUUGACAAAUACAGAUCCUCUUUAAUUUCCAAUCUAUUCUAGCAAACAUAUGUAAGUAACAAGAAUUUGUUGUGCAACCAGCCUUUCUCGACCACAUGCCAAUUCACAAAACCGUCAAAAGCACUCCGCCAAAUUAGAAGCUUAUUAUAGAGACGAGGUAAAUACCAUCUGCAGGUCACGACUUCCAGAAGUACUCUCAACAAGAUGGGGACGAGCACGAACAUCAUAUAUGAUUGGCCUCUCAAACCACGGUAUCAUCAAAUGCGUUCCUUCGGGGUACACCUGCACACACAGUAGAUUUCAGGCAUCAGCCAACAGGGUAAUAACACUAAACAAAAAUCAGAAAACAAGUAUAUGAAGGAGCUUAAAUCUCUCCAGUAUAAGUCAUAAAAGAACACGAAAACUGUCUUGAACUGUUGAACAAUUACACGAAAGAAGCUUCCCCUUCUGCUUUCAGCUGCAGUCACCUCUAAUAUAACAUUUGUGAAUUAGAAAUUUUGCUGUAGCUUUGAUUUGGAGCUUUUAAGCAUGUGAUAGAGAAAAGCUGAGUGAAAGGAUUUAACAGUGCUUCUCCUAAGAGCGCUUCAUCACACCACACUACAAGAUGCCACCUUUAGCAAAGUAGCCUAAAAACCUACUGCAUGAAACAUGUGUGAACACAUCUAACAGCCUAAUCAUACAUAAAAACGCCGCAGAUCCAAGUAAUUAGAACAAAAAGAAGAAGAGAUGAUCGGGAAAGAUGAUCAAAGAUAGGGUGGGUAAUGUAGAUGGACCUUGUCCUUGAUGCCCUGGAUGCGGUUGAAGACGAUGGCGCGGUGGCCUCCCUCGACGUUGAAGAGGCUGUUGAGGGCGGCGUACACGGCGGAGCCGCCGAAGAGCGCCACCUUGAGCAGCGUCGCCGCACCCCCCGAUCCCGGGACAUUGGGUGCCCUAACGUUCCUAAAGUUCAUCGUCCACCUCUCCUCUUCCCCCCUUGCUUAAAAACCACCACCCUUAAAACCCUAGAGAAACACGGAGACGAUGGGGGAUUGAGCUCCAAUGGAGAUCGACGAGAGGGGUGGAGCGAUUAGGGUUUUGGGGGCAGGGUUUUGAAGAGCGGGGUAAAGGAAGCUCGCCAGGGGUGGCAAUCCAGCCGCGAGCCAGCCCGUUCGGCUCGAAAUGAGCUCGAAAACGGCUCCCUAAACAAGCACUAAACGAGCCGACCACAAGUUAGAUUUUCCAGCUCGUUAAUAAACGAGCCAAACACGAGCUAGGGUGAGCUCGCUCGUGCUCGGCUCGAUAACAGCUCGAUUAUAUUUAUUUUAUAUUAAUAUAAUUUUAUUUUAUAUUAUAUAUGUAUAAUUAUAUUUGUAUUCUAAAUAUAUAAUACAGAUUAUUAAUUUUAAAUUUUUAAUUCAAUUUUUUUUAAAAAAAUUCAACUUAUUUAUAAAAGAGACCCAUAGGCCUAUUUAUAUUUAAAAUUUUUCUUUUCACUCAUGGUCCAUAGGCCUAUGAAAUAAGUUUCACCCUUUCCAUUCUUAACCCUAAUUAUCUUUUCGCAUAUUUUUUUUUCACACUGCCGCACACACAGCCACCUCUCUCUCUUUCUCUCUCUCCGCCGCUCUCUCUUUCUCUCUCUCUGUUUCGCAAAGGCACACAUCCGCCUCCUCUCUCUCUUUCUCUCUCUCUCUCUCUCUCUCUCUCUCUCUCUCGCACAGGCACACAUCUGCCUCCUCUCUCACAGUCUCGCACAGGCACACAUCUGCCUUCUCUCUCUCAGUCUCACACAGGCACACACAUCCGCCUCUUUCUUUCUCUCUCUCAGUCUCUCACACAACCACACGGCACACCCUUGGCUGGUGACACUCUCGGCAGUGAACUUCGGCGGCGACACUUUCAACCGGUUCAUCCAAUUGAUCUUCAUCUUUCUUUCUUUUUUUUUUUCUUUUUCUUAUGAUUUUUUUUAGGGGAAUGGGAGGGGAUUAUAUAAUCAAGCUAACGAGCCGAACACGAGCCAGCUCGAAUAAGUUUCAAGCCGAUCACGAGCCGGAGUUUUCGAGCUCGUCACGAGCUCGAGCCGAACAUGAGUCGACCUUGAAGACAUUCGAGCCGAGUUCAAGCUAGCUCCAGCUCGCUCGAGUUCGGCUCGUUUACAGCCCUAAAGCUUGGUGGUAGUUUUGGUACGCAUUCCAUGAAACGUGUGUGCGCGAGCGAGCACGCGUGCGUAUUUGGUGUGUUUUUGGGUUCACUUUUGGGUGCGCAUAAACGUGUCUACCCUCGAGUCGAUUUGCUACGGACACGUGUCGAUUCUUUUUGCAUGGACAAGUAAUUGCGAGCCCCGCCCCCUUUUUCAAAAAUUUGAUCAAAUUACUUUUAAUUUUUGACUUUUUUUAUAGCUAAAUUACACAAAAUCCUUAUAAAUAUUUACUUAUUUGCUUUUCCUUUCUAGUUUUUAAUAAUCUAUAUUUUACCUCCAUCGAUAUUUUUAAUUAUUGCAUCUAGCCCCCCUCCGCCAGGAUUUCAUCACUAUCCCGCCAAUUUCUUAUUAUUUGUACCGAAAAUACCCUUUAAAAUAAUAAAAAUAUAUUAAAAUAUUAUUUUUUAUAAAAAUAAAAUAAUUUAGUCAUUUUGCCCUCUCUAUUAACGGCAUACCCUCCUAAAAAUAUUUUCAAAACUUAAGGAGGAAAAAUAUAAAUUUUUGAAAGUCGGAAAGGAAAAGUAAAAUAGUGGAUAUUUACAGAAGAAUUUUUUGUAAUUUAAUCUUUUUCAUAAAAAUUUUAAAUAAAAAUGUAUAAAAUUUAUCUAUACUAUCUUUCAAAAUGUUUAUUUACUAUUCAACCUUUCAUUUUGUUUGAUUUAAUUUAGUCAACUAAAUAUUGACUUUAAAAUUUUAAUACAUUCCUUAUCUAUGUAAAUUUAAUUAUAUAUUUUAUAUAAUUUUUCGUAACUAUAAAUUUAUUAGAGUUAAUAAUUAGCUUAUAUUUUGAAGUCAAAGUGUAGUUGAUAGACUCAAAUCAAAUAAAUUAAAAAUUGAAUAGUAAAAUUAAAAUUUUAAAAGUUUAUCUAACCAGUUAAAAUUAUUCAUAGCUCAGAUAAAUUUUAUAUAUUUUUACCUAAAUUUUACUUAUUUAUAUUUUUUUGUAAAAAUAAAUAAUUUUUUGAAUGUUUUUGUCCCGUUUAAAUUUUAGAAAUGUGACCAAGAUAUAUCCAUUCUUUUCUUUCUUUACACUCUGCUUCCUAUCUCUGUUUCCUAUGGGAUCAUUGACACUAAUAAUUAAUAUUAAAAAUCUAAGCUGUUAAAAAUACGCAAUCAAUUUAUUUAAAAGUUAUAGACAUAGCGUCUACAGAUCUCGACUGUGACUCGAUCCAACCAGCCACGCGCUAUUUCAAAUAUAAUUCUUUUCAAUCUGAUGGCUCAUCAUUUCGAACAUGACUCGGGCCAACUAGGUCUCUCGCCAUAAACAAUAGCAUAUAUAUGUCUCGAUUGUGACUCGAUCAAACCAGCCACGCGCGCAUUUUGUACAUGAUUCGAUCCAAUCUAACCUCUCGCCAUUUUAAGCGUAACUCGACCCAACUUAGCCUCUCACCACAACAAAAGAUGAUCGCCCCUUUAAACCAAACACUCUCCGCCAUUGUCAUCCCUCCCACAUCGCUGCAGCACUCCUCCUUGCCCGCUGAAAACGUCUUUGCCCCCGCACGGACGCUGAAAGCUCCCGCAUCCUGCUCCAGAACGAGGCUCCUGAAAGCCUCGAUGUGGUGGUCGGGAUUGCCAGCGAGGCAACCGGGGUCUAGAACGGCAGCAACCUCAGCCUCGACGAGGCGACGCUCGAGUCAAGAUAGGGGGGAGUGGGGAUCAUGGAGACCCGCUUUGAAGACGAUGAGGCCGGGGAGGAGAAGGCAGAGUUGUAUUAUGAGAAUUGAUUUUGGUUAAAAACCAUAAAGUUCAGGAUAAAUAAUUUUUCCGAACUAAUUUUAUAAAUUAAAUUAUUUGACAGAAAAAAUUACUAUUUUUAAAAAAUUUUAAAUUUUAAAUUUAAAUAUAUAAAAUUUAAACUUAAAAUUUUAAUUUUUUAAAAUAUAAAUUUAAAUUUUACGUUGGAUUCAAAAUCAGAAUCAGAUUUUAAGAAACAAAUUUUAGUUGCUUCUGAUUUUAAACCUCUAAAAUCAGAAAACUGAUUCUAAAAUCAGAGUUAGAAUUUUAAAAAUAGGUUAUCCAAUACUCUAUUGAAGGAAAAAAUUAUUUUUGACUCUAAACCCACUUUUAAUUUAAGCUAAACAUCCUCCAAAGUUUUUUGUAUACAAGUACAAAGAAGCUUCCUCUCACCGUAUUUGAGUCUUCCAAAGUAGGGAUGUCAAUGAGUUGGAUUUGGGCCGGCUUUUCAAAAAUUCGAAUCCGAAUCUGAAAAUUAAAUUAAAAUUCAAACCCAAACCCAAAUCCGGCGGAUUUUAAAAUCCAUACCCAUAUUCGCCCUCGACCAAAAACCAGAAACCUGAACCCAGACCCGAACCCGGCGGAUUUUAAAAAUCCAUACCGUUGGAUGAAGAUCUAAUAAAUAAAAAUUAUUAAAUAUUUUAUAUAUUAUAUAAAUAAAUAAAAAUAAAUUAUGUAUAUAUAUAAUUUAUUCGGGUUCAGGUUCGGUUUCGGGUUCGGAUCUGGUUCGGGUCCGGAUCAGGUAAAUAUAAAAUCUAUACCCAUAUUCGUAUCCGUCAGGUUUUUAUUUUCUAUAUCUUUAACCGAAUUCAUAUCCGUUUAGCUCGAGUAAACCCGCCCCAUUCGGGUUCGGGUUCGGGUUCGGGUUCGGAUUCGGAUAAUAUUUUGGGUAUCCAUACCGGCCCAUUAACAUUCCUAUUCCACAGUGAAGAGAGAACUUCUCUCUUCAUUGCUGAACUUUUUCAUCUUCCUUUUAUUUCUUUAUUUUUUAUUAAAAGUAAAAAUAUAAUACCAUUUCAAACUAUAUUACAAUGUUUAAUAAAUUAUUACACAAUUAAAAACUAUAUUUUGUACUAUUUUAUAUAAUUUAAAAAAGUUUUACACUAUUUAAUAAGUUAUUGCACAAUUAGAAUAUCUUACUAAAACAUGUUGCAUAAUUAAAAUGCAUAAUUAAAAUAUGUUGCACAAUUAAAUUACUUCUUCUUCUUCUUCUCAUUUUGCCGAGUAGAAAAUAUUUUUUUUCCCCUUUAUUAUUGCCAGAUGACGAUGGACCGCUCCCGAGGUCGUGGAGCUCCCAGCGAUUCAUCUCCUCUUUCUCUUACCGGAACCUCGAACCUACCUGUUGCUAACAUAUGUUUCUGAAUCUAUUUUCUACUACAUUGAUCUUUUGGAUAAUAGUCUAUUAGAGCCAAUUCUAAGCUUUUUAUUAUAUGAGGUCGUGGGUUCAACCCCGCCCAUGUCUUGCUAGAGCUUUGGAUGAAUUUAAUUUAUAGUGAGUCAGAUAACAGAAGUAAAAUUUACGAUCAAAAACAACUUCAUUAACAACUUCUACACUCUCAGUGGAAGGAAACGAACAUGGUUUUAGCAGAUCACACAAGAAUUAGGGUAUUCCUCGGUCCUUUCUACAUAAUACGGUAUGACGAUAUACGGAUUAUUUCCGUAUAUUUUGACGUGCUCGGCGAUUUGGUUGUUCGGAUCCUUCUUCUUCUCGCCGUCUUUCUUGGGCUCCUUCUUGGGCUCCUCUUUCUUCUUCUCCGGCUCCUUAGCCGGACCGACGUAGGAAAUCCGAGCGUCCCAAAACUUUCUGACCCUGCCGACGACAUCCACCGGGUCAACACACCCGACGACAGUGAGCUUGUUCUCCUUCAUGUCCAUGGAGAUGGAAUCAAUCCCUGUGUUGAAUAUAAAAAUUAAAAAUAUCAUUUCUAACCGAUUAAAUUUUUGGAGAAUAAAGAUUCACAUUAUACAAUAUAAUAUCAGAGUAAGAUGUACUGAAUUCAAGUCACACUAGAGUUCUAUAAUUAUUGAUUGAUUUUCUUCUAUUUAAUUCAAGUCCAUACCGUUAAAUAAAAACAUCUUUCUUUAGAAAAAGUGCUAAAUAUAAAAAACAUAACCGUUCUUUAGUAGUUCAAAUUUUGAAGAACAAUAGUUAUUUUAUAUAAUUUAACACACUAGCUUAGCUGCACUUUCCGUCCUCGAACUAGCCUAGACUAGACUAGAAGGUGUACUAUUUAACCAGGAAACCAUUAGGUUUAAUAAAAAAUCUUAACGAGGGACCUAUUUGAAGCAAAUAAAAAAAUAUAUAAAUGAUAUUGUUUAAAUCUUUCAUAUAUGUACUUGUACUUUAAGUAUUGCAAAAUGCAAAAACUUACUCAGGAAAUCUAUAUAAAUGUUUCAUAAAAGUUUCAAAGGGCUAAAUCUCAGCAUUGCAAAAGUCCAGGAUCUCCACGUACUUUUCACCCUAAAUUCUAUUGAUAUUUGUAAAUUCAUAAGAAAAGUAUAAAUUUUACACCUUAUAUUGGGCUUGUGUUAUUAAUUUAUUUUUAAUACUAAAAAUUUAAACAACUUUAAAAUCACUGGAUGGGGGUUGUAAGAUCUAGUACCACAAGCAUUUUCUUUUCCAACUGUAGGAAAUGAGAUGGCUAAAUUGCAUUGAUGGUCCUUAAAUUAUGAAGCCUCUGACUUUUUAGUCCUCCAACUUUAAUAAGUGGUUAUGAGUUCCGCCUAAUUAUAAAUAUUUAAAAAAUUCGAACAAAAAAUUAUCAUAUAAUAAAUAAAUAAAUAAUAUGAUAUCGUACUUUUUUAUCCUAAAAAAUUUCUAAAAAUAUAGCUAUAAAAAAAUUUUCUACUUGCAUGUACAUACAUCCAAAAAGGUACAGAUACUAUAUCCUUCAUUCUAGAGCUCACGAAAAUUUAAAUAAUUGUUUUAAAAAGUUUGAGAUCAGUACAUUAAUAACUCUUAAAUGGAAUGGAUAUAAGAUGUUAUUGCUCACUAUAAAAACGUUUGAGAUCAGUACAUUAAUUGCUAUGGAUAAAAAAAAAAAGAAAAUAAUAAAUAAAUAAAUAAAUGAAGGAUGUUAAGUGGGGAAGGUGAGAUGAAGAUCGAUACCAUGAAGUUUGGAGACUGCUUUCAAUGCCUUUUGCUUCUCCACAUCGUCAUGCAAGUCCAACUUCACAAUUACCUUCUGCGCAAUUUGUUUUUAACAAGAAGCGGAAUCAGAAUCGCAAUAAAUUCAAAUUAAAUUUAUCGGAAAAGCAAAUUUUAAAAAAUAAGAUCACUAAAUUGUUUUAGGAGGGAAAACAAAAGAAAAAAUUAACCUUCUUAUUAUCUCCGGACAUUUUUGUACUCGCGGAGGCUUCAAAAGGAAGCGAGAAAGAAAAGAUGAUGACGUUGUAAUUAAGACCCAAUAUUCUAUUAUAUAUAUAUAUAUAGAGAGAGAGAGAGGGGUGUGGGGAAAUUAUUGCUUACACCUACUCCACCAAAUCAUAGUGUGAACCAGACGCGCUCAAAAGCCUAAUUUGGUAAUACCAAGGCUGAAAGGAGUAGGGCUACUGUGUUAUUAGAAGUACAGUAGUUCUUGUGCUUCUAAGUUCGUAAUUAUUCAUCAAUUUUGAUGGGUGGUUAGAGUUAAUUAAUAUCUCAUUUCUCUCAUUUCUUUUCUUAAUUUUUUCGCUCUUCGAAUUUCUCCAUAGUUUUUUUCUUUCUCUUUCACCAUAACCAGCUAUCAAAAUUAAUAGACACUUACGAACUUAAGAGCUCAAGGACUGCUAUCCUUCGAAUAGUACAGUAGCCCUACUAAUACAUAUUAUGUAAAAUUCAAAAAUUAUAAAAGUAAUUUUAUUUUCAUUUCUUUCACACUAUUAAAUUAUAAUUGCAACCGCCACUGAAGAAGUAUGAAAAAAAUUUAAAUGUUUUUAAUUUUUUGAAUCUUAUAUAUUAUAGAAUAAUAUUUUUAGCCACCACGUUAUCAAACUAGGUAUAUUUAGCUGCAAUAAAAGCUCAUGUUGGUGGAAAAAAGAGUUAAAGUUUAUAGAUAUGCUGCUACAGUGCUCAGAAAGCUCGUCUAUAACUUGGCUCAAUCUGGUCUUAUCAUGCGGCGGAAUGGGAUCGAUCCUAAUUGCCCUUCUCACUCAACAUCUAUACCCGACACUUAAUUUAAGUCUUUGUUUAGCCUAACGGUGCAGUUCGCUCGUAACCGCACUGUAUUGUAUUUUUAAAAAGCUUUGAUUCACAGUUUUCUCGAAAUCACUUUUAUUUAUCGUUAUGUAUGGAAACCACAAGUGCCAAGUGGUGCGCUUAAGAUAACAGGCCGUAACAUGGACGACACUGCGCAGCAAAACACCUAAAAAACUAUUUAUAAUUAUUUUUUAGUUUUUUUUUCUGAAAAUUUUAAAAUUUUUUUUGUGAGGUGGCCAGCAUGUAUAAGGAGUGAAAUAAACAACAGAUGGUUAGCUAGGCAAUCCAUGACAGAUAUAGUGAACCUGGUCCAGGGAAAGAAAAAAAAAACUCUCAAGAGUAAAGCUUGGGAACGAAGGAAGGUGGGGGAGAGAGAGAGUCUCAAAAAAAAAACAAAGGACAGGGACAAAAUAGUAAGAAAUUAUUACUUACACCAAGUGCAUCCCUAUCUCUCGUACACCACAAAUUGUGAUGAUUAAUAUUUUAAAAUUAAAAAUUGAAUAAAUAAUCAUGACAAAUUUAUGCUACGUGAAGGCAUUAACUAAUCCCCAAAAUCAACAACAGAGAAUUUAUUUAUUUGAUUUGUCAUAAAAUAUAUAUCUAUUAAAUUAGAUUUUGAUUCUGAGAUCGAGUUUAUGACGAGACUUAAGAAUGCGGUCAAUGGAACACCGGGCGCAUGCAAUAAUUUCUCCAAUGUGGUCGCUUUCGUUUGGGCGAUUUAGUCUAUGCAGUCUAUGGACUUAUUAUUUAUUAAUUAGCUAAAUUAAAAAAAAAUAUUUUACGUUUAUAUUAAAUAAAUUCAAAAUAAGAGAUUUCAUUUGUCUAAAUUUAAUUUUUUUUAAAAAAAAUAGAAAUUAGAUAGAUAUUGAAAUGUAGAAUAAAGUGGUAUGGCGACUUAUUUUAAUAAAAUUUUAUAAUUUUAAAAAUUAUUAGAUCUAUUUAAAAUAGUGGAAAAGUAUGGGAAGUUAAUUGUUACAAUUUUUAAGAUAAAUAAGAAAUGAUCAAAAAUGCGAAGGAGAAUUUUGUAAUUAAGCCUUGUUUAUACAAAGUCGGUCAACCAAGACUUUUGCUAUUGCUCGGUCGGCAAAGACUUUCUGUUCAUUUCUUUGCGCCAAGUGGAAGACUGUCAUCCAUAGUUUAAUGCGGGCGAAUUUUUUAUUAAUUAAUUUUUAUAGGAAGUCCGCAUUCAAAUAGCAAUGCUACUGAUAUAUUCUAAAAUAAAAUAAAAAAAUUAACGGGAAGCUUCCCAUCAACGCCUCGUUACAAAGUCUUAAUCGGUCGCCACGUAUUAUUUUUUUUUUUUAUCUCUACCAGAGGAUUAUAAUCCUUCACUCUUGUAAGAUUUAAAUUUUUUUUUAGAUUCUAGUAUUAAAAAAAAUAUCAAUGAAUUAUUGGAUCGAGGCAAAACUAAUACGUGUCAGCAGAUGGGACUCCCCAGUGAGAUGUCAUUGGAAAGCUCUGGACUGAAAUUUUAUCCAAAGUGAGGCAUAUGUAUCUUACAUCCUCUUCAUCCAAAAGUCAUUAUUUUCUAUUUUCCAUGUCAAUUCUUUCUUCUUAAACUUAUUUGAAUUUUUACGAACUUUGGGAUGAAGGUUGUAGGACCAAGCAAUCCAUUUCGUUCAUAUUUUAAAAAUAAACUUUACUAAAAAUGUGAAGCAAAUGUUGAACUUUAAACCUUUGAAUACCAACCGUCAAGUUCUUAACCAAUUACCGACCGUCCCUAGAGCAAGUGGCAAAGGGCUUGAUGGUUGGUACCCGAGAUCCAAGUUCGAAUCCUAGUUGAUUCACAUUUCUAGCUAAGUUUAUUUCUAAAUGAAAUAAACGAAGCGGGUAGCGUGUUACCUAUCUCUCAAAAAAAAAAAAAAAAUUCUUAACCAAUUGCAAUAGAAACGGUCGGUAUCUAUAUUUAUAACAGGGGUAUAAAUUUUGCAUCCUAAUUAAUCGUUAAAAAACUAAAAUUUACGCACUUGUCUUAUUAUUAUUAUUUUUUUUAGAAACAAUUGCCUAUAUACAACUAUGCACAAACCUGCUUUUAAACUAACCCUUCAAAAAAUCCAAAUUCUUUCAAAUAAACCUUAAAAAUAGGGGCUAUGUAAGGGGAAUAAAAAAGAUAAAUUUUUUAGAAGUACAAUUGAAACAAAGGAUAAAUAAAAAAAAUAGAAAUGUUACAAGAAUACAAAGAUAAUUUUCUUUUUUUUUUUUCAAUGUUAAAAACUCAAAAGAAGUUUGUAACUCCUAGAAUGAUAAGAUGUGAGAUAUACACUCCAUAAUAGAGUGUAUAGAUAGCAUUUUACUUCCAAUAAAAUUGAACCAAUUGUAGAUUUUUAUUUUAUCGAUUUAUUUAUUACUUUGGAGUCCUCACAAGAGAAUUAAUUUUGAGUAGAUUUGGAUGAUGGUAUUUUGCGAAACAUAGUAAUUUACUUUAGUGAAAGAUUCAACCACUAAUUAAGGACUCAUUUCGUAUUGAACACUGCUGCAUUGUGGAAUGAAAAAAUGUUAGAACGAAAUCAUAUAAAUUUUAUGUUGCUAUGUUUGUUAGUUAAAUCAUAAAAAUAUAUUUUAAAUAUUACUUAUGAAAAAAAAAAAGCAUAUAUCCUUUGUACUUCUACUGUAUUUCAAUAACGUUCGAAUCUAUCAAAGUCUGAGAUAUAAUAUUUAUAUUAGAGCGAUACAAAACUCUCUUUUUUUUAGAGAGCGAACAUAUGUAUACAAUUUUGAAAAAUGUGUUGGAUCGUCAAAAAGAAUUUUCUGUAUAUUUUUGACAUUGCAAAUUCAUAUGGCAUUUUGGAGUACAAUUAUAAACAAAUUUAAAAUUUUCAUGCUGAAUGUCAACUCAUUAACAACAUAUAAAAAUAAUAUUCAUUAAUUACAAUAAAUAAAAGAAAAAACUUCAAAUAUCACCCAUGUGGUUUCACACGAUCUCACUUUAGUGCCCUGUGGUUUAAAGUGUAUCAAUUUAGUGCUCUAUGAUUUCCUUUUUAUCUUUUCAUUAUCGGUUCCACUAAUUUUCUUCAUUAAAUUAGUGACAAAGUUAAAACUAAAGAGUACUAAAAUGAAUAUUCAAUAAAUCUAGAUGGGGUAUCUGAAGUUUUUUGUAUAUAAUUUAACGAAAUAUUAACGAAAAAACUGACGAAAAGAUAAAAAUGAAACCACAUGAUACAUUUUAAACCACAGGAUACUAAAGUAAGAAAGUGUGAAACUACAGGGGUGGCAUUUGAAGUUUACUCUAAAUAAAAUUGUUCAGGUAGGAAAACUAAGCAUUCUAAAUUUCGGAUGGUGAAGUACAAAUUGGUUUCGAAUGGUUUAAACUCUUUUUUUUUUUCGUUUGGUAUAAAAUUCGUAUAAGCAUUUUUCUAACAUUUGCUCAUACGAAUCAAAAAUCAGAUCUUCUAUAUUUUUUUUUUUUGAGGGAAAGCACGCUCGAAGGCGAAUUUAUUUAUCAAACGGGAGGUACAACUUGAGAGAAAUCAUCUACCGAGGACCAAAAAGGCAGUUUGUUGCUAGUGAGCCCCCAGUUGGCCAAUCGAUCUGCAACUACAGCAUUUUUAGAGAAUCUUGAAGACCAUCUAUAGCUAAAUUGAUUGGAACUUUCAAAAAAAAGUCCGAAGAUCCGUGAUUCUUGUUCGAGCUUCAACUGUUAGCGAAUUUGAAUGAUAGCUCCUAAGGUACAAGGCUUUAAUAAUGGGCGCUGAAUCUGAGUAGAUAUGAAAAGUUUCUCCUGAAUACCUUUGCAACAAAAGAUUUGUCGCUCGGGAAAUUGCUCCAAUUUCCGCAGAGCAAGCGUCAUAGACAUCCUUUAGUACAUUGGAUAUACACAUAAUAAUUCCAUGCUGAUUGGCGAUUAGGCCUCCUACUCCACCUGUAGUGCCACCUUUCCAACUCCCAUCCACCCAUACAUGUAAGGAAAAUGUCGCAGGUUCUUGAAUCAAAGUUGGGUCUUGAAUGCUAAUCCUCAUCAUAUUCUCUUUAGAAUAUAAGGUCGUCCAGCUGCGAGCCCGUGAAAUGAUGGUAGUAAUACUGAAAAUUUUUCCUUCAAAAAUCGUCUCAUUCCUUCCUUUCCAUAAGCUCCAUAACAGAUGAACACAGAAAGCUCUAUUGAUCGUCAUGACUUUAUUAGUUAGGAUAAAGAAAAUCCAAAAAGACAGAGGCCUAUCCGCAUUAUCAAUUAUAAGGCCGAUACUGGAUGCGAACUAGACACGUCGUAUUUGCUCACAAUUAAAGAAUAAAUGUACCAACGUCUCAACAUUUUGGAAAAGUAAAACGUCAGCAUCAAAGAAUUAAUGAGAAUUUGGAAUGCUUCUUGGAUACAAUUAUAUGUUCACUAGUUGAAAAUGAAACCACAUAUAUGAUUAUGGAGAAAAAAGAAUAUUUCGGGUUUAAUGCAAGAAAAAAAAAAAAAGGUGAGAGAGAAAAUAAAUGAAAAACAAAGGAGAAAUACAAUAACAUACCUCUAUUGAUAUUUAUAAUUUAUAAUCUAUAAUCAAUAACAGGAGUGAGGCUACUAUGCUAUCGGAAGCACGGAGCCUUCCGUGCUUCCAGCUCGUUUUUGAUGUUGCGACUUUCGAAUCGUCGAUCGGCUCCGUUAAACUUGAUCUAGAGUAUUUAAAGUAGCUAGAAAAUAAAUUUUAUGAUUUUACGAUAUCAUUUGCCUAGUGAACGAAGGGGCUCAAAAUCAACGGCUGAAAAUAAAAAUCUUACAAAAUGUAAUAAUAUGACAUUAAAAUUUUAAAUCAAAGAUAUUGAUCUUUUUUUAUAUAGUAUAAAGAAUUUUCUAUCAAAAUUUCACGUGAUUUGGAUAUUUCUACACCGUUAAACUUGCAAACGGCUCACUACGGCCAUUGAAAUUUGUUGAUUUUGAGCACAUUCGAUCACUAGGCAAAUGAUAUCGUAAAAUCAUAAAAUUUAUUUUCUAGGUACUCCAAAUACUCCAGAUCAAGUUUAACGGAGCCGAUCGACGAUUCGAAAGUCGCAACAUCGAAAACGAGCUAAAAAUAUGAAAGGCUCCGUGCUUCCGAUAGCAUAGUAGCCUCACUCUAAUAACAGUAUGUGAAUUCU
rnacentral:lncRNA from 1 species